AAAAAAAAAAAAAAAAAACUCUACAAGCAAACAACUUUGAUAUGAUUCUUUGUCUUUUUUUUCUUAACGAAAUUCUUAUAAUUAUAAUUCUAUUGUUGAGAAAAAGUUCCUUAUCGUUUUUUCCCUUUCUUUUCUCAAUAGGUCUUUUAACUGUCGUAACAUUAACAAUGUUGACAUUUUAUUAGUAGGGGUGCUUGUGGUUUAAACACUAAAAUCAAACCAAGUCAAUUCAUGAGUUGGGUUGGGUUUACGCCUCAUCCAGUAUUUUUUAAACUGAAAUGCUAAAGACAAGGAAUUUAGAUACAACGAACCCUUCACAAUACAUGUAACAUUUUUUCAUUGCAAAUUUAUUUGUUGAUUUCCCAUGUUUGACGCCAUCCUUCCAUGUAUUCUGUCCAAUGGUGAAUUGUGAUUGGUUGAUUGCUUAUUUGGGAUGAUUUCGGGAUGUUCCACCUCAGAAUACAUAGCAUUGCUCUUUUUUAAAUUCUAAAUAAAAAAUAUAAUUCAGAUAAUACAUAUGGUAGAACAUUUAAAAAAUAUAAUUGUAAUUACAAAUAGAUUUAUGGUAGGGAUCUUGCAAGAAAAUUUAUAAAUAAAAUAAAAAUAAUAUUACAUGUCAACCGGUCCAGUCUAAGGGUUCAAAAGACAACCAAUAAUAACAAUUAACAAAAUGUGGCAAAGACACACUAGACCGAAAUCCAGUUUAAGGAAACCAUAUGCAUAGGAUAUACACCAAACGCAUAACCCAACAAACCCAACGCAAGGAUUAAAACUAUAAUUGCAAAAGAAAUUAGCGUGUAAACGCGCCAAACAUCUAAACAAACCAUGGACAAGUUCAAACUCAUCUUUUAAAAGGAUGGUGACCGAAACUGACCGUCAACACGAUAACAACUUCCCAAUCCCACAACUUGCAGUACAACAAACAACAAGUAAUUGGCCAUUUCUAGAUACACAAAGAGAAUGAUUUAAAUUGUCUAUAAAAAACUAAAUCGGGGUUCUUUUGAAUAAUAAUUUGAUACACUAGGAGAAUAAUGUUUGAACUUUGUAGUUGCGAAACUCUAUUCAAUAUGGUUACAAUCCUAGUCUAUAUUUAGUAUAUUUGUUCUUAAUCGUUUUACAUAUUGAUAAACAUAUGAAUUCAUCUUAAAUAAUAACUUAUUACUAGCCAUAAGUGUUGAAUUUGAUCUAACACACCGUUCAAUCUAACAUAAUUGUUAGGUUGAGAUUUUAGAAAUUAAUGUUUUAUGAAACCUUCAUCGAUUAGGAACUCGCCUAAGAUAUUAAAGGAUUGUAAUAAGAGAAAAGAGUUCCGAGUCAAGAGAUUAAUUAUAACUAUUUUGUUAAUUUUUUUAUAAGAUUAGGAAAAUAAUUAUAAAGAACAAGUGCAAUCUACUGAAUAAUAAGAAAUAGAUGAUUAAAAAACCUGAUCAUCUUUAUGAGUCAAGAGAUUGAUUAUAACUUUUCAAAGGAAUAAUUUAUAGGAUUAAUAUAUGUUUACUUUUAGUAAUAUCAACGGUUUUCGGUUUAUCCCUUGUAAUUUUCUUUUAGAUUCCAAUCUAAAAAUUUAAAGAUUUUUUAGUUUUGAAUUUUCUUGUCAUCAAAUUUCAAAAUUUCCCUCUGAUUAGCUGUGAUUCCGAAAACAAAUUACCAAAUUCAAUAAGAGUUUAAUUUUCUUAUGAUUAGUUGUGAUUUGCUCAAAAAAUAAAGGUUUAAUACAUGUUUUGGUCCCUUAACUUAUUUUUGGAUUUCAUUUUGGUCAUAUAACUAUAAAAUGUCUCAAUUUGAUCCCUUAUGUUUUUUUGCCGUUACCUAUUUUGAUCUUAUCCAUUACAUUUUGGCUUAAUAGGUCAUUUGGUCCUUUAAUUAAUUUCAAAUUUUCAUUUUGAUCCCAUAAUUAAUAAAACUCAUGUUUUGGUCCCUUAAGUUGAUCUCCGUCUGUAAAAAAAAGUUCACCUCUGUUAAGUUUAACAACAGAUGUGUAUGGUGGACCAACAUUGUAGGUGUCCAUCAUAGACCCUAUUAAUUUCUUUAAUUUAAACCCUUCGAUUUUCUUUUAAAAAGAGGACUGUUCGAUCGUAAAAGUCCAUUAUAUUUUACGGUGAACCAACAAUAGCUAAUUUUUCCUCCCUUUCUUCAUAUUCUUCCCUUGUGUUCUUCAUCAUCUUUAAAGGAUUUAUGAGAAAAAACCCAGAAAAAAAAUUCAUCAAACAAAACACUUUCUAUCCCCUAUAAUUUCGAGUUUCCCUUCUCUCUCUCUCUCGAAAUCCCUUUCUCUUUCUCUCUGACCCCCCUUUAUUCUCUUUCUCUCAUAAUCUCUCAAUUCUUCGAGCUUCCCUCACCAUUAACUUAAUUCAAGAACAAUCAACAACUCAUAAUUUUAUUGAUUUGCGCAUACCAUUGAAGUGAUUGAAUUUGAAGGUGCUACAAACAUUUCCUUGAAAGGAUGAAGAAGAAGAAAGGGAAAGUGGACAGUGCACACAUGAUUUCAAUCUCUUCAGCACAUAGCAACGACACACAUGAGAGAGUUCUUUGCUGCUUGAUUCAAAAAGCUUCCAUAUCUUUUGUGGAUCUAAUAAUUAAGUUAGCUUCCUUCCUUUGCAUCUGAAUUUGUUACAUACAAGCAUGUGUGGUGAAAUCAAUGGUACAGAUUGAAGCUAUGGACAAUCUUUCGAUUCACUAUAGCAAAGCUUUGAAAGAUUAGAAAAUUCGUGAGUGAGUAGAUAAAAUCGAUAGAGUUAUACGCAAAUUCAACAUCCUUAAUCCUAAUUUUUUGAUAGAUUUUUGUUGUUGUUGUUGGGAUCCGAGAGAGAAGAGGAAGAGAGGUACUCUUUAUGCUGCUGCUGCUGUUACUAUUUUGAAUGAGGAGGAGGAAACAAUUUUUUGGGUUUUAAUUUAUUUUUCCUGGGUUUUUUUAUGUGUAAGUUUCAAGAUUUUUAUGAAGAUAUGAAUAUGAUUGAUGAAGAUGAAGAAGAGGAAGAUGAAGAUGAUGAAGAAAAGGGAAAAAAAUUAGAUGUUGGUGGUACAUGUAAAAUAAAAUAGACUUGUAAUUCAAUGGUCCUCCUUUAACAAAAAGAUCAAACAGUUUAACUUAACAGAGGUGGACUUUUUUGACAGACAUGGAUGAAUUUGAGGGACCAAAAGAUGAGUUUUAUUAAUUAUGGAACCAAAAUAAAAACUUGAAAUUAAUUAAGGGAUUAAAUGAUCUAUUAAGCCUUACAUUUUAACCAUAAAUGUCCAAGGUGUAACAACAUUGCAGGUGGUUUACCAUAGACCUAUUAAAUUUUUUAAUUUUAACUGUUCGAUAUUUUUUUCAAAAUAAAAACGGUUGGAUCAUGUAGGUCUAUUAUAGCAUACGGUGAAUGAUUAACACUUAAUUUUUUCUUUUCAUCAUCUUCAUUGAUAUUUGAGUAAAUAGUCAAUUUUCCCCUGAAAUUAACAAAACUUCAAUUACCCCCCUGAAAUUUCACAACGUUAGUCAAUUUACCCCCUCCGUCAAAUUUUCUGUUAAUGAACAUGACGUUUUGCAAAUACCCCCGAAGUUUUGCACUUAUGUGCAAAAUGUCCCCCAAACUUAAAAAUUUAUAUUAUUUUUUUCUUAAAAACAAACAAUUAAUAGUUAAAUAUUAAAGCUAACUAUUAAUUUUGGAGUUUGGAAAAACUACAUGCAUACAUACAUCAAAAUAGGGGAAAAUGUGUAUUUUUAAAGUGACAAUAAUGGUUAUUUCUAAUAGACAAAUUAUUAUUUUUAGAGGUUUAUAAACAAAUUAAUAAUCAGAUUUAAAUUUAUAUUUUCUCCUUCACCAUCUUAGUCGUUUAACUUCUCCAACAAUUUGCUCAAACCAUUUAAACUACACAACCCCCGAUAUUAAUCCACAAAUCAUCCCAUUAUUGUCACUUUAAAAAAUACAUAUUUUUCCCCAUUUUGAAGCCUAUUUUGAUGUAUAUAUUCAUGUAGUUUUCCCAAAUUUCAAAAUUAAUAGUUAGUUUUAAUAUUUAACUAUUAAUUGUUUGUUUUUAAGAAAAAAAUAAUAUAAAUUUUUAAGUUUGGGGGGCAUUUUGCACAUAAGUGCAAAACUUCAUGGGGUAUUUGCAAAACGUCAUGUUCACUAACAGAAAAAUUUGACGAAGGGGGUAAAUUGACUACCGUUGUGAAAUUUCAGGGGGAUAAUUGAAAUUUUGUUAAUUUCAGAGGGGUAAUUGAUGAAACUUACAAUUUCAUGGGGGAAAUUGACUAUUUACUCUUGAUAUUUUCUUCAUCAUCAUAUUCUUCAUCUUUGACAAUUAUCUUCAUAUAACAAUCCGAGAAAAUCAAAAAAUUAAAACUCAAAUUCAUUAUUUUUUAAAUUGCAAACCAAAAAUCAAUCUCCACCACUAUUCUAUCUCUCUCUCUAAAACCACUUCCUCACAAAAUCACAAAACCAUUUCCUCUCUCUAAAACUUUCUCUCUCCAAACCCUUACAACAACAAUCGCAACAAUGUCCUCUGCACCACCCGUUCUCCCUGCACCACCGUCCCUCCACCAUCAGCCACCACCGGGUCCACCGUCCCUCCGACGCAGUAUAGGGUUACAUAAUUAUAUAUAUGCUCUUGUAUAAAACUGCUUGCUGAAAUAUGGGUCAAGCAUAAGGACCCUCCUAGCUAAAGCCAUUUGAAUCAAAGCAAGUGAUGUUAUCGUACUAAAGAGAAAAUCAUUAUGUCUCAUGUGUGAGUGUGACCGGAAAGAUAAGCCAACCUAAUCACAAGCACCUUCUUUAAUGUUCAUGUUCCACAAAAGGCAAAUAUUGUGUGUCUAUUGAACCUAGUCAAAGCGAAAGUGCAGGUCAUUUCUAAGAAGAUUGAUAGAUACCAAUUCAAAUGCGUUUUUUUUUUCUUAACCUUCAAAUUCUCGUUGAAAAUGGGGUCAUGGUAAUCUAAAAUUUAAGUGAAUCUUGAAUAUUAUAUGUAAAGAUCUUUGCUAUUUUUUUAUUUUGUAAUAUACUGGAUUUCGUUAUGUUGUUGAUGGAUAAAUCAAUUUUCUGUAACCGAUUUAUUCAUUUUGUAAUAUUAGAAAGCUCUUAGUUAUAUGAUUUGGUUGAGAGAGUAAAAAUUGUUGAGGUUGUUGCUGAUGUUGUUGUUGAAAAGGUUGUUGUUGUUGUUGUUGUUGUUGAUGUUGAAGAAAUUGUUGUUUGUUGUUGUUGAAAAGAGAUGAUUUACUUAAAUCUUGAAUAUUUUGUUGGAAUUGUUUUGAGAAAAGAAGAGGAGAUGAAGUGGAAAGAAGAUGAAGAUUGAUAGGUGUUAUUGGAAUUGUAUGAAUUUUUGUGUUGCUUUUUUUUUUGUAUGAAUUUAGGAGAUGAAGAGGAAAGAAGAUAAAUAUAGAUAGUGAUUUUUAAUUUUUAUUUUCAGGAAAAUUAAGAAAAAUAGAAAUUAUCAUAUGUUGUCAGUCCACGGUAUGUCACCUAAUUUUUAAAUCAAGCUGUUGAUCACCAAUCUUAAAGGACACGUGGAAGGAGUUAACGGAUUUUGCAAAAAAUCUAACGAAGAGGACUAAAAUGGUAAACGACAUAAGAUUUAUAGGACCAAAUUGAGACACUUUAUAGUUAUGGGACCAAAAUGAAAUCCAAAAAUAAGUUGAAGGACCAAAAACAUGUAUUAAGCCAAAAAUAAAUGUACACUAAAUUUUUGAUGAAUUUCAAUUAUUAAAGACUUAAAUAUGUAUUUCAUCCUUGCAAUUAGUGGUCGUUUAAAAAUUGGUCUUUGUAGUCGCUAAUCGUGGCAAUUUACCCUUGCAUUGUUUAAUCAUUUAAAAUUUCGUCCCUCUCCCCACUUAAUCACUGCCACGUGACUAAUUUGUUGAUGUGGCAAUCACUACCAUACAUGAAAUUCCAAUUUUACCCGUGGGUUUCCAAAUAUUUCUUCAAUAUUUUGUCAUCUUCUUAAGGGCAAAAUUGGAAUUUCAUGUGUGGUAGUGAUUGCCGUCAUCGAAUUAGUGACGUGACAAUGAUUAAGUUGGUCAAAUGUCGAAAUUUUAAAUAAUUAAUAAUUGCAAGACUAGUUUGCAAGAAUUAGCGAAUACAGAGACCAAUUUUUUAACACCCUAAUUAGAAGGAUGAAAUACGCCAUUAUUAAAACAUAUUAAAGUGUGACGACGACAAUGUUGGAAAACUGGUCCAAAGCCUCCAACUACACGAAAUUCUCAUUUCAUCGUUGAAACGAAGCAAAAACGCGCUUCGAUUUUCCUCAACUUCGUUUCUCUGUACUUCUCCGCCGUACGAUCCAUUCACUGCAUCAUCCUCUACUUCACUUCUCUCUCUCUCUCUUUCAACAUCUCGCAGGUUCUCUCUCUCUCUAAGCAAAACCUUUAUUCCAUUUUUGGAUUCUAUUAAUUAAUGUCUAUUCUUCAUUUUUCUUUCCUUUUUCGUUCUUAAUUAACUUUCUCUUUAUGCCCUAAUCUUACUGGAUACAACUGUCCCCAAUUUGUUGGAUCUUAACUGUUAUUAGAUCAUACCAUAAGUUUCUAGAUUCGAAAUUUUCAAACUUUAUGUUAAUGAGUUUUGUUUGUUUUUGAUUUGAUUAAAAAAAAGAUUAGGGUGAUAUUGGUAUUGAAUUAAUUGUCAAUAUGAUAUUUUUGUUUUGAUUCAGUAGAAUUUUUGGUUUGUGACCCUUGAUUUUGGUUUAUUAACUAACUGGGAAUUUUUUAUAUGAUUAGGUUAAAUGGCUAGGAUCAAACCUCAGGCUCUGUUACAACAAAGUAAAAGGAAGAAGGGACCUUCUCGGAUUAGCGCGGCCAGUAUUAUAUUUUACGCUUUGAUUCUUGUCUUGGUUGGUUUUUUCCUUUUGGCCACAUACAGACAUUGGUCUAACAGGUUAGUCACAGAUUUUCUCUUUUAACCGAGAAAGUGUGAGAAAUGAUAUGUGGUGUAUUUAGACAGAAGAAUAAUGAAAGAUAUCUUAUGAACUAAUACUAAAUUGAGCAUUAUUGCUUUAGUUUCAUCAAGUCUUGUUGCUCUGAAAUGCUUGAUAAUUUUUAGGAUGCUAUUGCUAUAGGAUAGAGGAAUGUCUGAAUUGUAUUUGUUUGCUAAAGGCUUUAUUUUACUGUUAUAUCGAUUGAUCUCUCUCUCUCUCUCUCUGUCUUUUGUGGUGGUAGAACCUUUAGGCAGCGUUUGAUUCACAAAACAGUAAGUACUCCUGUCUUUUGUGGUGGUAGAACCAUUAGAGAGUGUUUGAUUCACAAAACAGUAGAACCAUUAGAGAGCGUUUGAUUCACAAAACAGUAAGUACUAGAUAGAACAAGACAUAACUGUACUAGAGAGUGAUAGAGAGAUAAUACAGGGUGUGUUUGAUUCGCAAAACAUUAAGUGCUGGACAGAACAAUACAAGACAAGACAAGACGGAUAGUACAUGAUAAGAUAGAACUGUACUGGAGAGAGACAGAGAGAAAAUAUAUUUUUAUGUUGGAAAAUAAAAAGGGUAUUUUGAUAUAUUCGAUAGUCUGUACUCUAGACAAAAAGUUGUCUCAUCAUGGUUUAGUGAGGGACAAGAAUUUCGGUUUUUGUCCGAUCCCUAGCUUCCUGUUUUGUCUAGUCCCAUGACCAAUUUAUAAAUCAAAUAGGGUACAAAAAAUGUUGUCCAGUACAGUCCUCUGUUUUUUAGCAAAACAAACGCAUCCUUAGCUUUGUUCUGAUGUCACUUUGGUUUAUGCCCUGGUUCUGGCAGAUUUUGGUUUUGUUUUGUUAAGCAUACAUGUUGCACAUAAAGUUUGUCCAAUUUUCCAUUGAAUUUUUUAGCAUUUUUGUUAAAGAUGAGUUUGAAUAGAACAACCAUCAGUUAUAUGAUUUCAAAGAAGGCUGUUAUUGGUUUGUAACAGGAUUAUUUCUAUUUUUCUCAUAUAAAUAGGAACAUCAGAAGAGCAUUAUCUAUUACCUUACCUAACCAUUCAUUUCUUACUUUAACUGUUUUCAGGUCAAGAUUGCAAUCAGAAAAUAACUUGUCAGUCUCUGAGGAGGUACAUCUUUAAAUGCACUGUAAAGCCUUUUUUUUUUUUACUCAGCCCUUCUGUAGUUUCAUGUUAUCUGACAUACCUGCCUAAUGUAUACUCCCUUUUAUCUAAAGGCCUUCUAUUAUGUGUGUUUGAGUUUUCCCAUUGAGACGAGGAUUUUCUGCAAGGUCAAUAGUUUUUUCGCUUGUGAAUUGAGUUAUUAUCUCAGACAAUUUACUUUUGUAGGUUGAAAAUAGUUUUGGGGACUCGAAGAAAUCUGAGCUACCUGGAUAUGCUGUAAGUUUCAUUUUCCACACUGCUAUAAUUCAUUUUCUAAUCAUUCUUUAGCGAAAUUCUUCUUCAAUGAAGUUUAGAAUGCCAGUUAAUUGAAAUUAUUAUAUGGAAUUUUAUCUUAUUACCUGGCCUAUUUCUUCAUUAUUAUAGGUCUUAAAUACAUCUAAAGGGUCUAUAAUAGUAGAACUGUACAAGGAAAGUGCUCCUGAAGCUGUUGACGAAUUUAUUGACUUAUGGUGAGUACUUGGUUUUCCAACAAAGUUUUUAAUACGGAAGCUGCUUAAUGGUUUGGGUUUGGUUAGACAUGAUGUUGGAGUAGAAGAAAUUGUCAACUUAAGAUAUUGUUGUUCUGUGAUAGACAAUAGGUAGAAAUUCAAUAUUUGCCAGGUGUUUAGAAUACCCAAGUAAUAUUUACAGCACUUUUCUUCCUUUUUCUAUAAUCUUAGCUGAAAUAUAUUUUGGUCAUUGCAAUUUGAAAUUGAAAGUCCUCUCCAAAUUCCAUAACAACAUUUCACAUCAUAUCUUGUGUCUUUGUUAGGCUGGUGUAUGUUGUGCUAUUUUUCAACAUUAUUUUCUCUGUAAAUAAAAUGUCGAUCAAUGAAAGUAUUAUCAGAUAUAUGUAGAGCUUGGUCCAAGUAUUAGCUCGACGCUUUAGUUUCUCUGGAAUAGUGCAUGUUUAACUGGACAUAAUAUAGGUUACUCCACACAAACACUAGCAGAUUAUUAUAUCUUCAACGAAACAUGUCAAGUCUUUGAAAAUUGCUGCAAUAACUAGCAGAAAAACAGCAAUUUUCCUUUGUCAUAUAAGGUGUCGAAUUCAGUUAGAGUAUUAGGAUUAUAAGUGUGGACUUGUACCGUUGUAUUACAUCUAUACUUGAUUGAGAUUAUUAGUAUAUGUAAGAAUACUAGGCCAAUCUUAUAUAUAGCACAAAUUCACAACAUCACAAUCAUUCAAAAUCCUCUUUGUGAAAUCAGAAAUGUGUUCUCUCUUUUCUCUCUAUCAAAUUUGCUAAAAUUUCAACAACAUGAACUGUGUAACAUUUUUUACACAACUUGUUAAAAAGAUAUCACAAAUUUGUACUUUUUUAUAUGGAGGUUACUUUGGUUUACUGCACUUACAGCUUGAGCCAGUAGAAUUGCUAUGUGAGUGUGAACAUUGAGUUGAGUGCUACAACUUUUAGAGUUGCUAUGCUUCUCAGUAUAAUAAUAGUGUUAUAGCAUCCUGAAAUAAACACACCCUCUGGUGGCCGCAAGCGCGGCUUUUUGUGGGUCCAACAACUGCAUGAUACGAAUAACAACUUCUGCAUUUGAUAAUACAGCUUUUUGGGUGGUCUGAUGUUUCUGUCACGUUUUUUGGCAUCAAUUUAUUUAGCAUUCUGUUCAUUAUAAACGGGUUGGCACAUGAAAUUUGUUUAAUAUGAUGCUUUCAACCUAAGACCUAUGAUUUGUUUGCAGUCAAAAAGGGCACUUCAAAGGGAUGCUUUUUCAGCGCGUGAUUAAGCAUUAUGUGAUUCAGGCAGGGGAUGGUCAAGGAACAGGAGCAGCUGAUUGGAACUUAAGAGGAAAGCAACCUGCAAGGUUUUCUUAUUCUUUUGGUUUUUGCAGUUUAUAUAUACAGAUACAGUCAAUCCUGGUGCUGAUCCACCAGUGAGUUGUAUAAUUUUCUAAUAUAAGAUAUCAUGAUGAUUCGCCAGUAUGAAACAUGAAGCAUUCAUGCUUGGAACAUCCAAGGGAAAACACACCAACAAAGGAUUUGAUCUUUUCAUCACAACUGCACCGAUUCCAGAUCUAAAUGAGAAGCUUAUCGUGUUUGGGCAAGUCGUCAAGGGAGAGGAUGUUGUUCAGGUGAUUAACUUAGCUUUAUUAUCAUUGUCAUGUCUGCAAUUGUCUGGAAAUUUGUUUUCCCUUUCCUUUUAUCCUUUCUGUUUUAGUCAUGAAGGUUUUUUCCAUAUCUUUUCUUGUGUUGGCUGUUUAUGAUUGCCAUUUUUCCAUUUAUUUUCAAUCACUAUCAAGGUUAAAUAUGUUGUGCAACACCAAUAUUUGUUGAUUUAUCACUUUAUAUGUAAUUAUGGUUGAUUUUGAAAUUUUUAGUAAUGAAUACAAUAAUGGUUCUAGUAGGUAGAUACCAACACCAUACUAAUUUUGACAUCUGUAUAAAUGGAGUUACUAUUCUGUGAUUGGAUGACGUAUUCGGGAAAAAAAAAUGCACCAAACUGUUUGAAUGUCAGUUAUAAUACUUAUGUGUCUGAGAAAUAAUGGUUUUUAAUAAUAUUACAAAAUGUGUCAAAUCAGUAGAUUUCAAAAUUAAGGUUGAUAUUGAAUAUUACAUAACCCUGCUCCAGGAAAUCGAAGAAGUGGAUACAGAUGAACAUUACACUCCUAAAAUAACUAUUGGGAUACUUGAUGUGACUCUCAAACAAAAGGUCUGAAGGUUCUGUGCUAGAUCAAGAGCACAAUGAGCGCUCACAGUUUGCUUAUAACCUGUUUCGGUGCUCCGGCCAAAUCUUUUGUACAGGGAUGAUGAACCAUGAGAAGUUCACCUGGGGUGCAUCUAUCAAGCUUUUGAGCCUUGAUGUUGUUUUUACUUUUUUAGUUAUGAACAGUGAUGCAGGAAAUAUACAAUCUCCUAUUCUUGCCUCUUUCUGUUACUUUAUAAUUUUUUUUACUUUCUAUUUCAUUUGAUUUUUGAGAAGGAGAGGGGCGGGAUUUGUGUAUGCUUGUAAGAUUGGUUAUAUCACAUUUUAUUUUUUAUUUUGGCAUUACUCUCAUAUGUAGCUUCAAUCAGUUCACAAGAUCAUUUCACUUUGAAGUUCAUUUUUCUGUUGUACUUUAACUGAUGACCAAUUUAGCAGUGAGCCAAAAUGCCAAGUUUUGUAAUAUUCUCUAAUGAUGCUCCAGUUACACUUCCAUUUGGUUAAAUUAGCUUGUAGUUCGGUUCUGACUAGUAUUUUAUUUCUGUUAUAAAUUUGGAGCAUUUAUCAGGUUAUAUUUUUAAGGGACAUUAUGAGUAGCUUAUAUUGAAUUGAUACAUAUGAUAUACAUUUCAAUAAGUAUUUAGAGGAACAUAUAAAAAAACUAAUGACAUAAGUAUGUGUGCAAUGAGCAGAAUAUACUCAAAAUUUCAGACAAAUUUACCACUCCAACAACUUUUCUUUUCUUAGUACGCAUGAUUUUUGUUACAUGAUCUUAUUAAAAAGGAAGGAGGGAGGGCACGCAUAUAGGGGUGGCAUGGUUCAGUUUGUGAUGAAAACUAAACCGAACUGAGCUGUUUAUUAAAUUUAAAAUAACUGAACUAAACUAUUUGCAACCGAAUUGAGCAAAUUUAAUUUAACAAAUUAACAUACUAACACAUGUCAUUAACAAAAAAGAAUUUGAUAGAUAUUACUCCCUCCAUCUAUAAUCUUUGAUAAUUUAAGGUUUGAUCACACAUUUUAAAAACAAUCAUAAAACUGGAUAGAUUUAAACUCUUUUAUCCUUAAUUCACUACGUAAAAAUAAUUGUAUUUAAUGCAUGCUUUUGGUCUUGUAAGGGUAUAAAAAGAAAAAUACUAUUAAUUGCAUAUUAGUUUUUUUUAAGAAACAUUUUGAGAUAAAACUAAAAAGCAGAGAGGACUAAGAGCAUGAAUAUACGCAGUUUUUUGGAUUACAUUUUGAUGAUAUUGAACUUUGGUGAUAUUGAUGGCUUUGUCUCUAUCUCUUCUCUUAUCAAUCUUCUAAUCUCUCAUACAAAUACACUAAUGUUACCUUAUAUCACAAAAACUCAAAGUCAUCCGAGUAUUUUCCUAGUUAUCUACCGUUCCGUUCGUACACCAAAAACAAGGCACCAUGUCGGGCUUCAUUUAUAAUUAUGCUUUGAAGCCAGUUCCUUUUUUCCCCUUCGUUCCUCUGCAUGGCCACGCUUCUUUCAUGCUUUGUUGCAUUAAAAAAUAAAUGAAAACAUAUUUACAUAGCCAACCAAAUACUCUUUUGAUAUAUUAUGGGAUUUUGUGGGACACAUUUUAGUGUUUUUGAUAAGUUGUAUGAACGAAUAUUUAGAAAAUGUAUGUAGUGAAGUUGUUUAAAUAAUUGAAAGCUGUGAAAAAAUAUAAAAAAUUAUGUGGAGUCCAUUUAACUUAUUAAGAUGGGUGUUAUGGAUGUGAAUGCUCUAAAGAUCAAAUACAGAAACUCUAACAAAAACAAGGAUUAGGAAUGAAAAUGUCAUUUCUCUCGAUAAUAUAAAUUAUUUUGUGGAGUGUAUUGCAAAACUGAUCAUUUGAGGUAAGAGUUAAAAAAGUUGGACAUCCCAAAUUCAAGCUCGAAAAAAAUUAUUAAUAUAACAACUAAUUACUAACUUUUAAAAAAAAAAAUCAAUUGUUGUCACUCUAUACGCAAGUAUUAUGUUAAUGAAUUAAUAGAGUGCAUCGAUCUCUCAAAGGUACUAAUUUGCUAGUACUAUGUUGAUUAAUUAAUUUACUAGUAAUUAGUUCAUAUAGUUGUGUAUUCACUAAUCAAGAUAACAUGACCACCGAUAUCAAUCACUUGUAUCUUUUCAUUGCAAUUCUAUGCAUUUGCUUCUAUUUUUACUUGACGAGAAGCAAAUACCUCCUUUAUAUUAUUGUUAUGCCAAAGGGCCAUGUCCAAAUGACGAGCAAGUUGUAGUGUUACUUGCAUAAAUUUGAGGUAUCUUAAGGGUGGCAAGUGUAUUAUACUAUUAGUCUAUGUUGUUGCACCAGAUGUUAUACCUUUUCACUGUCAGUUUUUUUUAGGGAACCUUCUAAAAAUCUUGGUACAAAAGUUUAUUUACGCAGUAUUUAUGACUACUAGAUAAAAUAAAUACAUUGAUUUCCUUUUCUUUUUAGGGAACAUUGAUUUCCAUUUUAAAAAACAUUGUAUUUAUCGAUGAAUUUCUCUAUACGAUGGCCUAAAUUUUAUAGGUAAAUUAUUCUCUAAUAAACUGACAUUAAAGUGAGAUCAACAUGUAAUAUGAUAUGUCCAAUUAACACGUCAUGUCAAAAUCUCUAACAAUAAAAGUUAACACAGGAAUAAUUGUGAACAUUACUAAAAAUUGAUCAAGAAGAAAUGAGCAAUUUUUAAAAAUUAGGGACUAUUUUGAUCGAUGUCAGAAUUUUCGAAGACCAAUAUGUCUAAACAAUUAAAUUACUAGCGAUGACAUGGUAACUUGUGAGAAAAGAAAAGUUAUUGGUGUAACAGUCCAAUGACAUGAUUGUUAACUAAGGUCGUGCCAAUAUAUAUAUUUUUUGGAGCCAAAAUAUAUAUUUUUUGGAUGGACCAAAAAAAUAAACAUAUAUAUAUAUACUCAAAAUUUAUUUUUUAAUAAGCAUUAAGCACAAAGUUGACCAUAAAAAUAUUAAUUGGUAUAUCUUGAAAAUUCAAAAUAAAUAUUUACACACUUUGAUUGACUUGAAAAUGUGAUAAUAAAAGAGAAAUGAUAUUUGUACAACCAUUUUGUGACAACUUUGGUACAACUUUCUCUCUCAUACUCACAUGAUGGUCUUAUCCUCUCUCUUCCUUUUUCUCUCUCCAUUGUUUUUGGCCGAUAAGAAGAAAGAAAAACAAGGUUGUCAUGAAAUGGAUGUACAAAUAUCAUUGCUAUAAUAAAAUGUAUCGAGAUGGAGAAGAGGGUGAGUCGCAAAGUCAUGUUAUUUAAAAGUCAACAAUAUUUUAAUAAUUUUUUCUAUAAAAAAAGUUGAACUUUUUUGUGGGGUGGGCCAUGGCACACCUAGGCCCCAAUGGCCCUCCGCCUUUGUAUAUAAUUAUAGUGUAUUUCAAAAGGUCGAACAACUAAAUAAGUAGAACUAUAGUAGUAGAUUUGGGAUUGUUGAAUUGGGACCGUAGAGUGUGCUCAUCUUAAGGUCUUGAGUUUGAUUUUCCACGAUGCCAAAUUUUGGUGGGAUGAUUUGGCUUUUUAAGAAGAAAAAAAACUAGUAAACAUAAGGGCAUGAUUCAAUUUCUACUUGAAAAAGGCAUAAAAUGACCUUUAGUAAAAAAAAAACAUUUUAAGUUUGUGAGAAGAUCAUUACCAAACAAUUCUAUUACUUAGAUCAUUCAAACUUAUUCUAAGUUUAAAUAUGCUCCAUUUAGACAAUACUUCAUUUAGUACUUUUUAGUAUAAACUAGCGAUUUGGUGGUACCAAAGUCGGUUUUUAACAUCAUUAAUUUAGGUCAAACGUUAAUCGUCUCCAAAACCACUCUAGUUUUUUUCUAAUCUUUUCAUUAAGUUACUUCUAGACAUAUUUGUAUUUUAAUUAUCACAUAAGAGAAGUAUUUAAAUUUUGACGUGGAAGAGUGAGUUUUUGAUUUUCACAUAAAAAAUAACUUUGUUAAUUCAAAAUACAAAAAUGUUUUUUAAUUAUUCAAUCACUAACACUAUAGAACCAUGGGAUAAAGAAUAAAACAAUUCUGAUGCUUGAAAACUCCUCUCACUAUUGUUAUAGUGCAUACAUUUUUCUUGCAACACGCUCAGCAUAAAAGCUUAUCAACUUGAACUUUCUAGAUGCAAACGUACUUUGUAGAACACUACAUGCAUAACUUAUAAUAGUGUUAGUGAUUCAUAAUUUUCUCUUGAAAAGCAAAUAGAAUUCGAAACACUACGUACACAUGCACACACACAUACAAUGCAUAACUUACAAUAAGAGAAUAAAUAACCCUAUCGAGAAGAAAAAGCAAACUAAAUAACCGCAAGAUUAGAAUUUUUUGUUAAGAAUACAGAAUUAAGUAUUAAAACUUCUUGUAAUGAAACUUGUGCAGUAAUUUUUUAAGGUUGACUUCUAUUGGCAGUUCAAAAAUAAGUUUGACUUUCUAGCAUUGUACAAACAAAGCAUACAUGCAAAUCUUCUUCUCCCGAAAACAUCAACAUCAUGAGUGUUAUAAUACAUAUAGAGCAGCCAUUUGGAAUUUAAUUUCUCUCUUAAUAAAAGUAGCCAACAUUUAUUUAAUUUAUUUGAUAUAUAUAUUUUAUAAGCUACCUCCACAAGCACCCAAUUCCUAGUGGAAUUGGACUUGAAAAAAAAAAGUACAAAGAAUCUCACAUCAAAGUAGAAAACACAUCACAAUUUAAAAUAUCAAAUUAUCAAAAGUUCUAUAUCAAUGUAAGAUAACUCUUCCACAAAGAGAAAUAGAGUCAACAUGCUUUUAUUAUAUGUUCCUUUCAAAAAAAAAAAAAAAAGCUUUUAUUAUAUGUUGUGAUUAUAUAAUAUAAUGUAGACAAGCAACCCCCACUAGACCACAAAUUAUUUUAGUAAUUUAACAAUUCUUUUUGGUUUGGAUUUUUCAAUCCCCAAAAAGUCUUAUAAUUUUUUAUAAUUACACAAAAGGUUGGCGUGCAAUAACCACAUCUGAACUUGUCCACAUCCAAGUGUGUUUUUAGUUGAAAAGUAGAAGACUCGUGUUUUCUACUCACAGGUGUAAAGAAGGUAUUGUAAUUGAAAUUUAAUUUCUUAAAAGCAAGAUUAAAAAGCAUGUCAAUGUAGGACAAGAAUGUCACCAUUAUUCUGUUUAUUGGACACCCUUAUCUAAUUUAAUUUGGUUUUAGCCACUAAUAUCAAAGAAUUUUGUCUAUAUUCACCUAAUUUGUUCUUUAUAUGGGAAGGUCGUUGUUUAUGAAAUCUUCCCUAAAUAAUCUAUGUGUCUAAUAAUUUGAAUACUUGUCUUGAAAUUAUUGGAUGAUAGUGAGAAAUAUACCCCCGAUGUUCAUGGAAUCAUAAACCCAUGGACGAAGGCAUGCAUUACGAAAAAUUGAGCACCUACAUCAAAGAGAAUCAAAGUUUAGGUUUAUGUAUGCUCUAUCAUGGUGUAUUCGUGCACCAUGACAUUCCAUGAGAUGCACCAUGACUUAACUAUUAUAUUGCAGAGAGGUAUCAAUAAUGAUCUUUGAAGUAGAGUGGCCUUGCUGCCACGAUCCACUGAGAUUCAACCCUUGUCGUUUUGAUUCGUCCCUAAAAAAAAAUGAUAUUUGAAUUUGGUCUCAAACUAAUGCAGAAGAUUUACAAUUGUUGAAGAUCAUCAAAGUCAUGAUCUGUAUAUUUAUUGAGCAACUUUUUGAACUUUCCCUAAUCUUCACAUAAAAGUCUUACAAUAAAAAUAAUAAUAAUGAAACCACUCACAAAUUCUUUGAUAACUUAGUUUAGUGAGCAAAUUAGAGAUGAAUUUCAUAUUUUUGCUCCCUAAAUUUCUGUUAUUAGUAUAAUUUUGGCAAGUAUUCUAAUUGGAAAGAUGCUCCAAGGGAUCCUUUCAUCUGAAAAAAAUAAAGAGAACCUAAAUGAUUUCUCUAUAUAGCGUAGCAUGUAAUUUCAAAUCUUGGAUAAAAAUAUCAUAUUUUGCAAUUCAAUGGCCCCGUUUGCCACAAAAUAACGGAUGACAUAUAAGAUUGUUGAUAGGUGAUAGAGAAUAAGAUAGUUUUGGUGGUGUCUGGAGCUCGAACUCUGACCUUGCAUAUAUUAUGCAUUGUCCUUGCAAACUAAGUUAAGUUUACGGGGACAAAUAAUAAAGUAGUUGAUUGAACAUAUAGUGUUCAGUGAAAUUAAUGUUUGAACUAAUUUAUAAAUAUGAAAUAAGUUAAAAAAAUGCAUGUUAAAUCAAUAUUUAAUUUUUUCUCUCUCAAUAAGAUAAGAAUGGUAAAAUAAAGAGAGAGAAAAAGAUAAGAUAUAACCAACUUGAAUCAACUUAUAAAAAAAAGCACUCCAUAUACUAGUAAAAUAAGUUGUAAGCUCGUGAGAAAACAAUUGUUAUCAAACAUUUUUUGUGUGGUCAUAUGAGCUUAUAAAGAGCUAGCUUAUUGUGCGUUGUGACAAAUGUAAGGUGAGAUAGAAGUUCCACAUCAGAUGAAAAAGUGAUCUUGCCUCAUUAAAACGAUGGUUGAGAUCAUUUGACCUUUAGAAACUCAACAAUGUGAUCUUGCCACAUUAAAGUGCACACAAACAUGAGUUGGUCAAAGGGAGGGCGCACCCAUGCGUGUGUUCAGUGCAUGUUGGUGUGUGUGUCAAGCGUAUGUUGACACAUGUAAAACGUUUAUGUGGCGAUGAUGUGUACUGAAACAAAAAAUUCCUAAUAUCAAUUAACUUAAGGCCAAACUUGGUUCGACUGGACAACGACGUCACACUUUUGGUGGUCAGCUUCAGUGCGUCAUCACCCGUUUACAAAAUUGCUUACCUCCAAUCGCACAGUAGAGCCCGAUCUCCACUAUAUAAACAUGUUGUGUGUAAACUCUCCAAUAUAAAACUUUAAGGAAUUUUUCAAUUCACACACAAUCAGAUCUAGUAUUCCAACAAAUUUCAGUCACAUACAUUGCACAUGGAAAUUGGUAAUCCGUUCGUUUCUUCCAUGCAAUUCGUAGCUUUCUUCCCUUUGGCACAAGCAAAUUAAUCUUCUUAAGUUACACGUUUUCUUUCUAAAGGAAAGUUACAUUUAAAAGAUCAUAUUGCUAAACAAAUCAAUAAUCUCUCUAUCAUGGUUAAUUAAUUAUCAAUAGUUUCCUAAUUGAACAGUACAAACAAAAAGGACAUAAAUGUUAAAGAAAAGCCACCCAACUUUUCAAUUUAGUGUAUAUGGUCUCCUAUCCAACCUUUAUAUUUUUGCUACUAUUAAAUUAUUAUCUAUUUUGUUAUCAUGGGAUACUUUCGACAUUAAUUAAUUAAUUUUGUUGUAAAGUGAAAUGGACUAUGUGGCUCAGGAACAUCUGUUUGUAGUGGCGUGGAGAUCCUAAAGUUAGCUUUUCUGGUCGAUCGAUAGAGCCAAUGAUCUCUGAGUCACAUAUAAGAUGAAACUAUUUUAGUUUAGUUUAAUUUUUAAAGGAGAAUAUAAAUAUAUAACCUAGUGAUUCAACCACGGUUCCCUUAUUUCUUCACGUACUUGCAUUUGCAUACAUGGAUGUGGGGUGGUAGGUUAGCAAAAAUAAAACUCCUACAUGUAUAUUAUUAUGUUUUACAUAUGCAUUGUUUAAAUUAUGUGUAUCACUCUUGCCAACCAAAAAAAUAAAUUGUGUAGCACAGGCAUACACUUUUUACCUAUAUAGCUUUAUGAUCAAUAUAAUUAUGUGCUGAUGGUGUAUCUAGCAAACUAUUCUAUAUAUUUUGAGGUCAAUGAGGACCACUUAAGUUUUAAAAUAAAUAUAAGGUCUUUAAGAUAAUUUUCUAAAAUCCAAAUAAUUUGAUCCAUUAAAAUAUUUUAAGAAAUCCAAAUAACCAGAAAGGUUAAAAAAAUAAAUAACCAGAAAGGUGCAUAAUUAUAUGUAUUUUACAAACAUAAUCUGAAUAAAUACAUGUAUACAUAAAAAUGAAAUUUAGUAAUAUUUAUACAUGGAGGUUGAGUAGCUCAACUUACUACUAGAAAAACACGAAUUAGAGUCGGAAUUUAGGGAGGAAAAAAAUUUGUAACUAAUUGUGACGGUUUUAAAGACGGAUAUUCAUAUACACCACAAAAAUUGAGAGGACAAACAUUAGUGACAUAAUGGAUUAAUUAUCCGUCACAAAAAUUCCGUCACUAAAUCCCUCAAAAAAUUGAUUAGUUAAAUGUUUGUUAUGGAAAUGAUCCUUCUCAAAUGUUUCCCUCACUAAAACCAUCACUAAUGUCAACUGCAUAGUUAAAGAACAAUUGAAGGCUUACAAGGAGUUGAUCGUGCAUCGCAAUAAGAUUAACGUUUGUUUAGGGAGCAAAUGACUAAAUUUAUGAAAAUGUUUUCUCAAGGUCAUCUAAUUUAUGAAAAUAUUUUGAUUUUGGUUUUUCAAGAACAAUGUGCUACUUCUAAUACCAUUAAAUUUUUUGAAAAGUGUUUGUUAAGAAACUUAUUUUGAGAGUUUCCUUAUGACUUUUAUGUAUUUUAAGAGUGUUGAACAAUGGUUGUAAAUUUAUUGAAAGUAUCCUUGACGUUUAUGUUUUAUGGUGAUGAAUGCAUGUGAUGCUCAUGAAGACAAUUUAUAAAGUGUUUUUUUAUUGUGUAUUUAUAAUUUCCAACAAGUUUCAUAUGGUUUAAUAUAGUAAAUGCAUUUGCAAUAAUAAUAUAAUUAAUGAAAGCUGGCAAGAAAUUAAACAUUAGAUGAGGAAUGCAAAUUUUUGUUUGAAUUUUCUCACUAAUUAGUGACGAAAAUAAAUUGUCAUAAAAUCAUAAGUGUAGUCUGUGAGGGAAUUCAGUUUCGUCACAAUUAGGGACAUAAUAUACCCUCACAAUCUGUGAGGGAAUACCAAUCAGUCAUUAAUUAGUGAUAAAUAUUGGUGAAAAGGAUGGAAUGGUCCCUCACAAUUAGCGACGGAUUUUAUCCAUAUCCAUUAGCGACGGAAACCAAAAUCCCUCACCAAUAUUUAGCAAGGUCAAAAUUCGGAACGGAUUACCGGUCGUCACAAAAUUCGUUUGUGAGAAUUAUAGUAGUUUAUUGACGGAUUUCUACCCUCUCUAAAAUUGAUUUUUCUAGUAGUGUGACAAAGAGAAAAAGAAAAAAAAAAUUGAUAUAACGACCAAUAGUUUUUAAUAUUACAGAAAUGAUAACUAAACACAUAAAUUUAGCCACAAAUACGACACCAGGGGUAAAAUCGUAAUUUCCAUUAAAAAACAUGUGCAUAAUUGGUUUUCCAACAGAAACUGAGGGGUAUUUUCGUGAAUUUUCAUUCAAUUUCUUUCUCUCUCUAAACUUUCUCGUUGUCUUCUCCGAUCCACCUUAUGUUCUCACCACCACUGCAUUUUCUCCAAUCCACCCACUGUUCCACCACCAUACCCUCUUCUUGUUUUAUAGAUCAGGUCCCAAGGAAAGAAAUUUGCAUAGGAGAGAGAUCUGUAAAAGAGAGAGAUGUAGAGAAGAGUGAGAACAGGAGAGAGAUGGCAGAGGACGACUGCCGAUCGUUGUGGGUUUGCGGAGAAGAGAGAAAUUGAGAUUUGAUUUGCAAAUGAGUAUGGGUGGUCGUCGACGGAGUUGAAGAGAUGGAUGGAGUCGACGACGGUGGCUGGUGGCCGGAAGGGGUGUGUUCGAGAGUUGCAGAGACGGCACAAGAGAUGAUGACUUGCAAAGAUGGUGUUGGGAUGGUAGUUCGCAGAUGAAAAGAAGACGGUCUGAGUUGCAGGGAAAAGAUUAAAAUAAAAUAGAAAGCAUAAAUGAAUAAGGAUGUCGUACGGUGUCGUAUUCUUGUCCAAAAACUUGUGUCCAGUUAUCAUUCCUGUUAAUAUUAAGUGAGACUUAAUUUUUUUUUUUUAAUAUAUGAAGUCUAUUUUAUCUGCAUAUGAUGCCUUUAUUAGAAGAUGUGUUAGGGGUCUGCUACAAUAACUUAACUAAGAAGAUGAUGAAGAAGAAUGCACAUAUAACUUUCAAAGCAUGUGUGAGACACACUAACCUUUAGGUUCGGCUCGUUCCCACCAAUUAUGUCAACAAAAUGCAAAAUGGUAUAACGGUGAAUCCCCUUCAGGAUACUUUAAAAUCUUUGACAUGACUUGCACAUUCAUACUAAGCGUAUCGAACAAUGUUAAUUUACAAAACAAAGUUUUGUCGAUUUCUCUCGUGCACUAGAGAAAAGAAAGAAUGAUAUAGUAUUAUUUUAGGCAGUAUUUUGACUCACAAGAAUGUGACAUUCUAUUCUAUUUUUUUGAAUGAUUUUCCUACUCCAAAGUAUAUCUAUUUAUAGAGAAACUUAUGUUUUUUUUUUUUUUUGUGAAGAGAUACAACUCUUCAACAGAGAUUUUGCAAUGACAAGAUGCAGUGAUUAUAUUGGUCAAAUAGUCAAGCAAUACAUCUUUUCACUUAAAUGUCUCUAUUCAAUCAUUGCAACUUUUCAAAUUUAUAUUUUGGAAAUUCCUUUCACAACCUUUUUAUUUGUAAAAUCUAAAGAAAAAUACUUUUUGUUGGUGUGUCUAAAACGAUAGUUGCUUAUAAAGGACUCUUAUUAUGUUUAAUUCUCGUUUUUCAUCUUCGUAAUAUAUUAAAUAAAUCAACGUAGAAUUAAACAUAAUAAAAGUAUUUUAUACUUAUAAACAUAUUUUUUUGAAGGAACUUUUUCAAAAUUUGUGUUGGAUCACAAUCUCACAAAACCGGUUCCACUUAUGUCUUAUCCCUUUCAAUGCCAGACUUUUACUGACUUAUUAUUCAUACAUAAUAUCAAAAUUAAGAGGUUUAUUUUUUUAUAUAAGAAAAUAAUGGUUCACACACACUUUUUUAUAUGUUGAAUAAAUUAUUUCUAAAAAAAUAUAUUAAAUUAAUUAACAUGGAUAUAUAACCAUUGUUUAGUUAGGUCAAAUGUUUAUUUGUUAGAAUCACUAAUGCAUUCAACGAUGUUUGUUCAAUUGGUAAAAGUUGACUCAUAUUUUAUGUUCUAUAUACGUGAGUUCAAUUUUCGCAUUUGUAUAUAUUUUGAUCUAGUUCCCCUCUUUUUGUAUAUAUUUUUCUCAUUUUUUAAUAAAAUUUUAGAGUUUGGCGGUAUAUGAUGGAGGUUUCUCGGGAUACCAACCUAGUUGGUUUGUCGAUGUUUCCUUUUGAUAUAUGUCCUCUCUUCUUAUCUAGUAUAAAUAAAAAAAAAUCUCUCGUAUUUGUGGUUAUAACCUUGUUAGCUGAUAAAAAAUUUAAGAAAAUGUAUCCACUCUCAACAUUUCAUAAGAAAAUGUAUCCACGCAGCCAUGCGAGUGUGCUUUGCGAUCUUAUCUGUUCCUGUAAUUGUGACAUGGUGUUGUAAUUGAACAGUGUGAGAUUAAUUUUUCUCUUCAACCAUGUAACAUCUACGCACAGCUAAAUUCUUGCGGUAGAUAAAGGACCAUAAUAAACAAAUAAAUUCCAUACAACAAAUAUUUUAGUGCACAUAUAAUUUUCAACACUAGAGACCGGUGAGUAGGUAUAAAUAUUCAAAAUAUAAUUAAAAAUAUAAUUAUAUAUGUAUUUGUAAAACCUCUCAACAAAGUUUUUCCAGGUAAUUACAUAGCAGAUACAUCAUACAUGUGCUCCGUUCCAAAGUUUUUCCAGGUUGUUAUAUGGAAUGCGAAGUUCAACAAGAUUCCAUGGAGAAAAAUUUGAUGGUAGAGAAUUUAAUGGAUACGCAUUCCAUUCAAAGCUUCUCAAAUUGUUAGGCAAAAAAUCAAGACCCCCACAAAGAUGCACAUAAUUAAUUCCCUUAACAUCUUGAUUGUGGCCUUCGAAAACAGGUAAUCUUCGGUUUGACAUAUUUGUAAAUGCUUUAGAGCUCAAAUUUAUGCAGGUAAAUUUGAGCCAUUUCUAUGCAUAUGCUUUCAAGUGCACUACUCCCCUAAUAAAUGAAAAUUAGAAUCAAUGUUAAUACUUUGUGGUAAGUUGCAGUUAAAAACACACACAUACAUACAUGUUUUUUGGAAUGCAAAGCUAUAUAUCAUUCAUACAUUAUUGUUUGUCAACACAUCACAAAUUUCGCUAGCAUUCCACAAUCUACUGCGUUUUCCAGGGUUUUUGAUAGAUUCUUCCCGAACAAUUUGCCUAUCCAUUUCUUGUAUCAAGUCAUGUAUCUCUAUGUGACUGUUUAAAGUAAUAGUUACAAGAGCCUUGUCUAACAAGUUUCUUAUCCCAAUAUCUGCAAAGAAACCAUAGGCAUUUAAUAUUUUUGUUACACUGCUGCUGCUAGAAAUAUAUUUUUCUCUGUAUCAUCUAAUUCAUCAUAACUUAAUCUCAACACCUUUUGAAUUUCAGCAUUGGAAAUUUCCUUCAGUUUAUUUAGAGCACUAUCCCAUUCUUUUUUACUUUUUGUACGAAGAAAUGAACCCAGAACUUUCAAAGCCAAAUGGUUGCCUUUUGCAUAAGAAACUACAUUGUUUGAUAUUUCCUACAAACAUUUUUGUAAGAAAUAAAUUAAAGGGAUAAAAUUUCAGUCAUACAUGAGAGUUUCAGUCCAGGACCUCCAACUACUGAUUUCUUCACACACACGCGCGCGCACGUACAAGUUUUGAUAUAUGAAACAUUUUUUAUUUGCAUAUGAGGUUUUACUAGCAUUACUUUUGGAUCAACACACACACACACACAAGUUUGAUAUAUGAAACCUUUUUUAUUUGCAUAACUCUGAUUAUAGGAUACAUGUAUGGUAAUAAGAAGGCAAGUUGAAUGCGAGUUUUGCCGCUCUUUCCCAAACCCUCUUGUAAAAAUACCUACAUAUUAUCCCUAUUUAUGACAAUGAAUCUUGACUCAAUUUAUAAUGAGUUGACUCCUACCAAAUAAGGGUAUGAAUUCAAUUCUUGUUGCCAAUGUGAGGACAUCUUUAAAGGAGGAUAUGUAAAUUCCUAUGCUAGUGAUCUCUAAUCCUUGAUGUCUGCUCUAGCUCUAGUGAGCCUCCAAAAUCUAAUUCACAUAAACUUUUCUUUAUAAAUAAAAGAUUUUACUUUUUUUUUUUUUUUUUUUUUUUUUUUUUUUACUAUCUCAUCUUAAAUUUUGUUGUAGGCCUCAAAUAUAGAAGAUAAAAAGAGUUUGGUUUUGUUUAUGUAACAUGUUUGUCGAAAGUUAAAACUCACUAAGAAAUUACAUCCCUUCGACUAAGUUGGAAGAUAUCCCUUACCAUCUCAUCCAUAUAGAUGAACUAAAACUAAUUUAUAAGACUAAAUUAUCAUAUUAUAAAUUUGAAGGAUUAAAUUAUCCAACCCUUUUAAUUUUUCAAAGAUCGAAAUAUAUGCCAUUUGAGAGAGAUAAAUGUAAAUAUUUUUGUAAGUGUUCUUUGAAUUCUAAGGUCUUCGUUAUCUUGAACUUAGAUACCAUCUCUCCGGUCUAAAUUUUAAUUAAAAAAUAAUUAAAAUACAUAUUAGAUGAGAUGACACGGGUCUCUUAUAGUUUAACUAAAGUCAUGGUUUCAAAUCCAAUCUUGAACAUGCAGCAACAUUAACACACUUAAAGAGAGCUUGCCGCCCAUUUAAAUCCCACAAGACUCAAGUGAUUAGUCUCCACAAUUACGCACGAGAAGGAUACCUGAUUUGAAAAACAAAUAAUCAAUUGGGCCUAAUAGACAAUUCUCGCAUCUCAGCCUUAUUAUCUCUACAAACUUCAAUCCGAAAAAGAUACGACACACAAGAGUUGAAAAUCCAAACGACAGUGUUUGUUGAUUAAAAUGUCCUCAACCAAUAAUUAAAUUAUUGAUAUGCUUAGUUGUCAAUCCAAACAUGUCAUAUAUAGGAACGCAAAAACAAAACUCAUUUUUGGGCAGUUUGAGAUGGGAAGAUAUAUGAUAGAUGCUUAAUAUGGCUUGUUCUCGUGAGCUUAGUUCAGUUGGUAGAGACAACAUAUAAUAUAUGUAAGGUCCAGGUUCAAAUCCCGACCACCAUAAAAGAAUGCUUAAUAUAGGUUAUUAAUACUUGGCUUUUAUAUGUGUUUAUUCCCUGCAAAUAGGGGUCAUUUAAAAAUUGGUCCCUGUAUUCUUUAAUCCUGACAAUUUGUCCUGCCAAAAUUUAAUCAUUUAAUAUUUCGUCUCUCUCCCCACUUAAUCACUACCACGUCACUAAUUACAGGGAUAUUUUUGUAAUUUCAUGUUUGUAAUUUCAGCGACGUGGCAUUAAUUAACUGGGCUGAGGGACCAAUUUUGAAGUGAUUAAAUUUUGGUAGGGCAAAAUGCCAGGAUUAAGGAAUACAGAGACCAUUUUUUAAAUGACCUUUAUUUGCAGGGACUAAAGACACACAUAUGAAAGCCUUAAUACUUUUUGAAGCAAAAUUGAUUUGAAAAGGUUCGAAAGAGAAAAGAACACAACCAAGUUGUUUGGGCUCCACUGGCAAGGAGCUCCUUACAAUGAUGUACCCUGGAAAUACCGAGUUCGACUCCUAGGGGAACAAUGCUUGACUAGUACACAUGUCUCUAUAUACGAGCCGGAUUAGACGUUCAUAUUUAGUGGAUCGGAAACCGGUGCAAAGUACAUUCAAAGAUCUUUAGAUGUAGGUUCAUCAAAGUAUGACCUUCUAUAUCCUCGUUGAUAAUGCAAAUUUAAGAAAUUGGAUUUCAACUGAGUUGUGUGUAAAGUUUCCUAUGGCCUUAAUCUACGUGCAUCCACGGUAUCUCCUCCUCCUCCAGAAUCAAUUCCAAUGUCUUCCAUCUCAUCUUCCUCUCAUGACGAUCUUCACCUUAGAAAUGAAUAUUUUCAACUACUCCCUCUCUUUUUGAUAUGACAAAGGGGGGAAUGAAUUAAGGAGCUAAAUUUAGAAAUUUGAGAAGUAAUAUUUUGUGUACUCUAGAAAUGAAUAUUUAGAAAUGAAAUUUGAGAAGUAAUUUAGAAAUUAAUAUUUUCAACCACACGAUCUAAUGUUUGCUUAUUUCUCCUACUAGUAUUUUAAUUUCUAAAUUAGGAUUAAUUGCUUUUUAUUUUGUUUUAAACCAUUUGAAUAUUCAAGAAAAUCAUUUGUGAUGUAAUUUAUUUAGUAUGAAACUAUGAAUGAUAUAUUAUGGUUCAAGUAAAUCACAAGUUUAGUUACUCAAUUUGCAUUUUAAAACUUUAAUAUGAUAUUGAAUGCUAAAAUUUUAGGGAGAGCUCUUUGUUAAAAAUAUACAAAUAUUGUUACUGAUUUGCUUAAUGAGAAUCAUAAAUUAAAAUCUAAUUCAACAAGUUUGUCAUCAUAAAAAAUAAGAGUUGCUGAGGUAAAAUUCCAAUUUUAUAAUAAACAUUUGAAGAAUAUUUUUAAGACUGAUAUCUAACCUGUACUUUUGAGUGGUUUAAUUUAUAGACAGGUUCUGAUUAUGAUACAAGCAUCUCAUAUUCGCGACAUAAUUUAAUCCAUCUUUGUGACAUGAUGCAUCCCUCUAAAUUGCGAUAGAUUGAUAUUUUGUAACAAAAUCCAUCACUAAUUUGUGGUCAAAAUCAAUAAUUAUAUGUUAUGUUUUCGUUUGGUAUUAGUGAUGGAAGAAUUAAGAGUUUGUUUGAGUUCAAGUGGUUAAUGAGUUCCACAUAUGAUGAAUUGUUUAAGAGAAUCUGAAUUCGAUUUCUGAGUGAAAUAAUUCUAUUAUUAACCAAACUUUACUUAUCUUCUGAUCGAACUCCAAAUUAUCAAGACUAUUUCCAUUGAGAACUAGAGGGUUAACACAACCAAAAAAACUAAGAGUUGUCUAAUAUGAACCUCCUAAAAAAGGUUUAAAGUUGGACAUUUACUAUUUUUAGCAAAAGAUUGAAUUUUAUAAUAAUAAUAGUAAAAGGAAAAAAAUGUGUAAUGUUUUAUCAAAACUUACAAAAAUCGAAUUUUUCUAGAAGUCGAAAUUUUUUGGUGGAAUCUAGAGAUCAAUUUUAGAUUAUGUCCAUCUAAAGUCGAUCAUUUCCGUUUAGAGAUCGACUUUAGAUAGACAUGAAAAACUCAUAUAUGUGAGGAUACAAUUAUGUCGCAAUUGGCUAAAAUUUCUAGAUCUCCUAGCUAAAUAUUUAAUGUCCAACAUCCACGGUUUUGUUUAUGUGGUUACAUUAAUUAGUUUGCGACGAAAUUGUGUUGCUUUAGCGACAAAUCACAUACCCUAUCUAAAUUUAGUUUUUUUUCUUCUUCUAAUGGAGUGGCCAAUAAUAAAUAGUUUCUUUUAAGGGAUAAUAAAUAGUUUCUUCAAAAAAAAAAUAGCCAAACACAAAAGCUAUCGGAAAAAAGCCCAAGGACCCAAAAAGAUCCCCGGUCACACACAAAACCAACAAAAAAUGAAGCCCAUCCCAACACGCCAACAUGAGAAAUAAAGACAAAAAACACCCACAUGACAGAAGAACCUCGAAAUCCUGGAACCACCCAAACCCUCAAAGACAUAUAAGAUCCAUAUGUGUCAAACAACAUUGAACCCUAAAGGUGUCAACGUACAAAGAAUUGGUUGUCUCCCACUCGUAAGGGGAGCCGCGCGAUGCCUAGAGAAUUUACCAAAGAAUCACUCCCAAGAAUGAAAAAUAAUCCAAUCAACAUGUUGCUGCUCAGUCUCGAAGUUACUUCUUGAGAAAGGUCAUUACGAACUUUUCAAAUAUACCACACAUUCGCAUGCCCUAGCUCUCCUCCUAUAUACACCUAAAAGAGAACACACCAACUAAAUGUUAAGAACUCGGACACUGCAUAUCAAAUGCUCAUACACGACUACCAUAUUUGAUGUACUGAUUGUGUACUCUUUUUUUUUAUCCAAAAGUACUAAAAGUAAAUGAAGAAAGAAUAUGAGGAAGUAUACAUAGUACAUUUUUAUUUGUCUAAAAAGUAGUGAAAAUUUAACAUGGUUGGUUAUUAUAAAGUAAAACUAGCAGCCCUAAACACCGUAGUAGCAAACUUAAGCCAAACCCAUGCUGGCCCAUCAACUUAUAUAAUAAUUACCCACGAACGUUAGUGGAAAAACUCGGUUGCAUAUUUUAUUGUCUCCCCUAUAAUUGUUAUAACCUACAAAUACUUAUACGUCACUUAAAUUUGAGCAAUCUCAUCCAUAAAUUCCCACCCCACAAGGCCACAACAACGAUUAAAGAAACAAAUUAAGAGAGAUUAUACAUACAUAUACACUCCUACUUAGGUCCAUUCCACCAAUUAAAGGAAUCACAAACAAGAAGAGAAAAAUAAAAUAGCUAGAGAGAAAUACAUAAAGAUGAGUGAAGAAUGUGGUGGAAACACUAUUGCUACCUCUACUACUCCAUUAAACUGGUGGUAUCUUCAAGCAAAUUCUCUUUCUUCUAAUUGGAAUGAUGUUAAACAUGCAUGGAACAACCAAAUGAAUAAUCCAAAUUCUUCCUCUUCUUGUGAGGAUCAAGAUAUAUCAGUUUCUUCUACAUCUUUCACCAAUGCAUCAAACCAUUCAAGCCUCACUGUUGAAUCCUCUCGAAGAGUAUUCGUCGAGCCGCAUGCACCACCUUCCUCCAACGACUUCAUGGCCGAACAUGCUUCGGAUAACCAACUAUGGAGUCAUGUUUUAUCGUAAGUUUCGUAAAUUGUUAAUUAUUACAAUUGUGCUAUAUGUUAUAAUGAAAACUAGUCUCAAUAUCACGAAAUAAUGUGCGUUAGAAUUUCAGUACAAAGGAAAAAAAAUUCAUAUGCUAUUGACUGAAAACAUGGAUCUGUCCAAUGAUAUUAUUUUGUGACACUUCUUAAUGGAACCCCUUCAUGACAGUAAACAAUUUCCUAAUUAUUAAUAAAUAUCUGAUGUUUUUACUGCUAUAUAUUAUUGAAACUGGCAAAAAAUUUUAUUGCUAUAUAAGAGACAAAUCUUUUACAGUUUUAGGUUAGAAAUUUUGUGAAGUUUAAGGGUGUUUUAAGUUAGGUAUAUAGGGUUAAAGUAUACGAUGGUUUUUUUCAGUGUGAGUAAAUAAUAUUCUUCUAGGCCUUUGCUUUCCACUAUCUAUAACAUGCUAACAGCUGUUAUGUGCACUAUAAUCAGUGUUUUCACACUAUGCAACAAUGAUCUCUUGUUUAUCCAUCCACAUACCAAUAAAAACCCUCUUGGAUUCUGUAAGAUAUAUAAUUAAAAAGUAAAUUUAUUAUAUAUUUUAGUAUAUAUACAGCUAAUUAGCUUUUUGUUUUGAUAAGAAAUGUUUGUAUAUUUUAAUUACAACUAAUUUACUUUCUUAUGUAAAAUAAUUUAUAGAGGUGUUGAUUCAAAUGGAGAGUUACACAACAACCAAGAAAUUGGAGAGAAUUUCUUGGAUGGACUAUCAUCAAAAACCAUGACAAACACUAUGUUUGAUGAACCAGCUUGUGACUAUUUGAAGAAACUUGAUACAACAAGUUGGGAAUAUAAUACUAGUGGUUCAACUUCAUUCAAUACUAAUUUUGAGAAGCACUUAAAUGGGUACAGUGAAGCUCUUAUUGAGAAUAAUGAAAGGUUGACAAAAUUAUCCAAUCUUGUAAGCACUUGGUCUAUUGCCCCACCUGACCCUGAAGUUAGUAGCCACUUUGAUUCACAAACAAAUAACAAUUUGUCUACUAAUUUGAAUAAUUCUAAUUCGUCCAAUAUGGAUCAUAAUCACUACACACAUGAUUCUGACCCUAAUUGUCAUUUCAAACUACCUUUUGGUGAUUCCACAUCAUGUACUAUUAGAGAAGGAGUAGGUAAUAAAAUGUUCCCUAGUUGCCUUGAUAUUCAAGACAUGAAUAAGGUUAAGGAAGAAUAUCAUCAUCAUGCAAGUGAAGUGAUGCAAGGACAUGUAUUUAGAAAAUCACUUAAUCCAAAUGGAUAUCUUGAUGGAUUUAACUCAGUGGGAGAUCACAAUGGCAAAUUUUAUGAAGGGUUGCCAAAUAUUUCACCAUGCACCAAAAAUUUCUCAGAUGUUAUAUCCUUUAAUAGUAGGCUUGGAAGGCCAGUUGUUGGAAUCCAUCCACAAAGGCCUAAUAUGAGAUACUCAAACUUAUCUGAGUCAAAGAAACAAGGGCUUCAAACACCAUCACAUGUGAGUUUUUUCUUCUUCUUUUAUAGACAAAUUUUAUUUGUUAAUUUGUUUUGUUAGCAGCAUACAAAUUUCACUUAAAAUAGUGAUGAUCCAUCUUUAUAUCCUAUAUUUUUGAGAGAUCCAUAUUUUUCUAAAACGGUAAAAUUUAUUAAUAAUUAAGUUUCUGCACUAGACGAACAGAGACCUGUAAAAUAUAUAUGAGACAAAUCCGAAAAAAUAUAUGAAGUAGCGACAAAAAAUUUAAAAAGAAAUUUUUAUAAUGUAUUUGUCUCUAUAAAUUAGACAUGGAAAUUUAAUUAUUUUUGUUUCUAAUUUCUUGGUUGAUUUAACUUUUUUUAGUAUGGCAACUAAUUUCUAUUCAAAAUUUAGAGAAAAAGUCAUGCUAGCUCUGACAUUAUUUUGUCAAAUAAAAUGUGUAUGCAAUUAAUUUAUGCAGAUGAGAACCACUAAUGGAAGAGGAGAGGGAACAACACGUGAAGUAAAGAAGAAAAGAUCUGAAGAAUCAUCAGAAGCAAGUUUGAAAAAGCCUAAGCAAGAUACUUCAACAACAAAUUCAUCUUCAAAGGUACAUAAAUAUAUUUAUUAUAUAUUAUGUAAUAUACGUACCAACAUGAACUAAUUAUGAGUGUAAAAAAGUCAUAUAAAGUGGGGGAAACCUUUUUAUUUUGUGUAUUAAUGUAAAUUAAGAAACUUCUAUUGAUUGUUUAAAAGGUGCAAGCACCUAAAGUCAAGCUAGGAGACAAGAUCACAGCCCUUCAACAAAUUGUGUCUCCAUUUGGAAAGGUUACUACAGAAUGCACUAAUCCCCACACCCUCUUCCCUUUUUCAUUCCUAUCUUUUUUGUAUAAAUAAUUCACAGUGCUUUUACUUUUCUCACUACCUACUUCAUAAUAAUCAAUUUAUUUUAUUUUUCUUUGUUGAAUUUCAGACUGAUACAGCAUCUGUGCUGUUUGAAGCAAUAGGGUACAUAAAGUAUCUUGAAGAACAAGUCCAGGUGUGUAUCAUUAUGGAAAAGUUCCCAUUCAUUAUGCAUUAUAUGUAACUAUAUAGUAUAUAAUAUACAUUAUUGUUGCUUUUCUCCUCCUUUUCAUUUUUAAUUAAUGCCAAGGAAACUUGACUUCUAGGAUUAUUAGUUCUUUAUCAAAAUGAAUAAACUAACAACAAUGCUGUGUUGAGCGAUUACACAUUUUCCAUGAAUAUCUCAUGAGCUUCAUCAACUAUAUAAUAUAAGGAGAUUUUAAAUAACACCUAACUAAAAUCUAAUUAUGAUUAGUAAAAAUAUGUGCCCCUGCCAGUAUGUUAAUCUUAGCUGCAACAAAUUACAAAAUUGUAUACUAUUAGUAGAUUAAAAACAAAACAAAAUGAAAAAUAAAAAUUUUAUAGGGACUAAACAUGUUUAACCAUGUACCAAAAAAAAAACAUAUUUAACCAUAUAUACUUUAAGUGAUUAAAGAUGCAGGUUUUUUUUAUCAUAACCCUUCCAUUCCUAGAAAAUGGCCUAUAUAAUACAUGUUCCGGCCGGAAAGUAAGUAAAGUCUGACAAAUAAUCAUUUUAAGUCAUAAUUUGAAACCAAGUUUCUUCUAAACUAUUGGUAUUAAAGGUGCAGCUUCAAACACAAACAGUUCAACUAUAAGUAAUAUAAUCAUCUUUUUCUUCAUUAUAUACAAUUAACAGUUUAAUUUAUCUUUAAUUAAUUCUUUUUACGUUCAUAAUUAUUAUGCAGUUACUGAGCAACCCUUACUUGAAGGCAAAUUCACACAAGGUAAUUAAGAAAUUAAUCUAUAUAUAGAUAUCUCUAUUAAGUACUUUUCAAAAUUAAAUUAUUCUCUCAAAAUUUCACUCUUAAUUAGAGAUGAUUAACAUAAUAAUUAAUCCAGGAUCCAAGGGGAAGCUACUUCGAUAGAAAAGAUAAGGAGGAUGCAAAGCUAGACCUUCGAAGUAAAGGUCUUUGUUUAGUUCCUACUUCAUGUACCCCUAUAGUUUAUAGAGAGAACAAUGGGCCAGAUUACUGGACACCAGCGUAUAGAGGAUGUAUGUAUAGGUGAUUAAUAACACAUGCAUAUGACUUAUGCCAAAAAUAGUAUGUGGUUGUAUGUACUAUAAUCUUGGAAAUUAUAAGAUCUCGUCAAUAAAUCAUAUAUUAUCCUGAAUGUAACUAUUUAUUUAUUGUCUUGAUGUAAUGCCUGGUUACACGAGUAUACACAUUUUAGUUGACCUUCAAACAAGGGCUAGUACUUAGCAUUAUUGAUUUUUCUUUUUUUAAAGUUCUCUUACUAGAAAGAAUGUGUUUUUCAUACUAAAAAAUUACUUGAGUAAAAAAAACGAUAUUAAUAAAAAGACUCUUAAAGUAAAAAUGUUUCUCUCAGUGAUAUAGACAAAAGAUGCACAUUUUACCAAUUUAGCUCUCCAAUUACAAACAAAUUAUUAACAGUCACAAUUGUUGGAUGAUGUAAAAAUUUGACAUUAACUAAUGUUUUUUUUACGGAUUAAUAAUUUUUUUCUACGAAUAUAUAUUCAAUUUUCAUUUUCUAUAGUUUUAUUCAAAUUGCUAACGAAGGAAAUGAAACACUCAUGUAAUGUAUAUGUGUGAUAGGGAGAAGGUGAUAAGCAAACUAGCUAGGAUGAAUGUAUUUUCAAAAUCAAUGAAAAUAAUGUUUAGGCACUUUCAAAGUUUAUCAAAAAGUUUUAUAUGUUUUAAAAAAAAUGUAAAAGAAGAUUGUGAUGAAAAUAUUCUUUUAUGUUCAUUUGUUGAAGUGAAAAUAAAAAAAAAUAAAAUAAUAUUUAUUAGGUAUAAUUCAGAGUAUAAUUAAUCUCACAUUGAGUCUCUCAUUAGUUGGUUAGUCAAAAGAAUAUGAAAUUCAUUUUAUUUUCUAAUCGAAAAUUAAUUAUAGCGAAGCAAUUAGAUAAUUCACACCUAUAAUACAAUCUUUAAUUUUCUAAUAGGUGUAAAUUCUCUUAUAGGUGUGAAUUAUAGCAAUUAGGUAAUUUUCUAAUACAUACCUAUAAAAUUAUCUAAUCUAAUUGUUAUAAGAAACUUCUAAGGUACACUCAGAAAGUGAGGUGUACCGGUACUCAUGCUUCAUAAUUUUAUAAAUUAACGAUCAUUUUUUAUGAAAUAAAUAGUUAUUUGUUAAUAUUAAUAUUUUAUAGAACAUCAUUUCAUAAGAAAAAACAUCAUUUCAUUGUUUAUAAGAAUUAUAAUAAUUUUUUUUACAUAUUAUCAUAAAAAAUAAUCAAUGUUCUCAAUUAUGAGUGAAAAAAAUUCAAAAAAAAUUAAUUUUAUUUCGUUGACACUUUUGAUAAAUAAGAUUUAAUUAUUAUAAUUAUAGAUGAUAAAAAAUAAUAUUUUUCUUUAAAAAAACAACUCAUUUAACUAUUAAUUUAAAAAAUGAGUAUACCAAUACACUCAAAUAUAUUGGAUGUACCAUAAAAUUUGCAUUGUUAUAAUUAUCUUAUACCGAAGUAAUUAGAUAAUUCACAGGUGUGAAUUUUUUGAUGAUUGUAUUAUAAGUGUGAAUUAUCCAAUUGCUUCGCUAUAAUUAAUCUCCACCUAAAAUUUCACUAAUCAACUUUAGUUGAGUCUCUCUUCUCAAUUACUACCUUCGUCCUAAUUAUAAGACUCUUUUGAAAAAAUAAUGGGAAUUAAGAUAGUGGAUAUUUGUAUUAAAUAUGUUUGUAAUUACUAUUGUUUUUACAAUUUUAUCCUUUAAGAAAUAGGGUUGGCUUAUGUUUUCAACAUUUUAUUUAUUGCUGAUUGAAGAAAAAGAUGUAUAAUAAAUAGGGGCAUGUAUGUAAAGAAAUAAUUAAUGUAGUUGGAAAUAGAAAAGGGGUCUUAUAAAAAGGGACAAAAUUUUUUUCUCAAAAGGGUCUUAUAAUUAGGGACGGAGGUAGUAUGUUUUUUUUUCUUCAUCCAAAAAAACCCUUUUUAAAGUGAAAUAUCAUAGAGUUAUUUAUUUUUUCGCAAAGGACUCACCAAAUAAUGUAUACAUCACCUCAAACCCUAGUCGUCACCCUUUUCUUCUUCUUUUCAGAGGGGUGAUUUAGGGUUAUUUUUGACACAAAAUCACCCCUCCGAAUUGUUUUUUCUUCUAUCAUAAUUAAAUAACUGAUUUCACAUAUUUUCAGUUUUCUUUCGUUUGAUUUGUGAUUACGUCGUCUCUGAACGACUCUGUUUGUUUUGAUUUCCCGUCUUUAUCCGGUGUGUUUUUGAUUUCCCAUCUUAGUGCGGUGUUUAUUUGAUUCAGGUUGAAAGAUUAGCUUUAAGCAAGUGCAGAUCCGAUCAAUGACAAUGACUUUGGCGUCGUCAACGUUGCAGAUUCGGAGACAUGAGUAUUCCGGAGACAUGAAUAUAGUCAUAUUAAUUAUAUUUGUAGGCAUAGGUACUUUGCCGUUUUAUGCUAUUAACAUGGAUGCUGUGAGUUUGUUCACAGAUUCAUCCUUUUUAUUUUUAGCAAAUUUGAAUUUGUAUUGUAUCGAUGUACUCUAUCAAUUUGAAAGAAUGCAUAUUGUUUAUUUUUGUCAAAAAAAUAAUAAUAAUGUAUACAUCACCUUAUACCGUAAGAAGCAUAAAAGACACUCAUUAACAAAAUAUUUGAAUAAGAAAGCAUAGCCUGAACUAUAUAAGCUUUGGAAAGUUAAUGAAAACAAAAUAUAGUUCUCCAAAUCUAAAAACCAAGCUGAUUAAAAUUGUUGAAAUUGAACAUUUGAGUUGACUCUAGUGUUUGUCACGAUCAAUUUGCAAGAGAAGGACCAAAUUUGACAUGUAAAUCAAAAUAUUUGAUAAAAGAAUUAGUGUGCAUGUUCAUCACCUGAUGUACAGAGAAAAAUACUAAAUAAAUUAUAUAUUCAUGGAUGGUCAACUGAGAGUUAGCUAAGUGUGCAUCACAUUAAAAACUUUUGUAAUAUAUUGUAACUUUUUAGGUUAUUGUCACUAAUUCUCAGUACUUUAGAAUAUGUGAAAUUGUAGAUAGAUUCUUCAUAUAUAUAGAAUCUUCAUACAUAAAAGGUUCACACUCCAUUUUAUACUCCUUAAAUAUGGUAUCGUUUUUAAUUUUUUUUGUAUAAUCAGUAGAAUCAUAUUAUUAAUUGACUGUAGAAAAACAAAACCAUAUAUGGUGGAACAGCAUGGAUGGUUUUGAACAUGUCCACUCACUAACAUUGAACGAUUUAGGAUGAUUUAAACAAGUAAAAGAUGGGAUUGAUUCUAGAAGUAGAGAGAAUGACGUAUUGUUAAGUGCCAAUGAGAAAUUGGUCAAAGGGGAGAUGAGCAAAAAAGCCAAUUGCAAGGUUGGUGGUGCACUCAAACAUAGAUCAGUCAUGCUUCUUAUAAUGACAACCAAGACAAACACACCACCCUCACAAAUCCUCACAAUUUUUUUGGAACAAAAGUAGUUUUUUUUUUUCAUAAUCCAAAUAUAUGGAAUUGAUAUAAUGAUAUAAUUCAUUUCAGUAAUUUUGAAAUUGAUAGUAAUUUCAAAUUUUUAGAAACAUCACUCCCUUCUUUUUCUCUUCUCCUCUUUUCAUCUUCUUCGUUCGUCGAUAAGGAGUGGUUUAGAAUUAAUUUUUUUUGGCAUAAAUCACUCAUCUAAUUAAUUUUUCUAUCUUUUUAUAUAAGUGAUUUUUCGUAUAUUUUUUUUUUUUGUGAUUUUGUCAAUUUAGUACGGCCUAUUAUUUUGUUUGCCAUCUUUGCUGCUAUGUUAGUUUGUUUUUUCGUUUUGUUCUGGUGUUUAUUCUAUUUAAUUGAUAUAUUAGAUUUGAUCUGAAAGCAUUGAUAUCUCAAACACUUUAAUUUUAUUGCAUUGAUAGGCUUUAUCAUAUUUGUAUUUAUAUUUUUCUCAUUUUCCUUAUGUUCUGAGAUAGAAUAUCAAUCAUGGCAAUUUGAAUUUUGAAAUGAUAGGAAUUGAUAUUCACUUUGGCAAUUUUGAAAACUACGGAAUUGAAUUUUGAAAUAAUUUAGAUCUAAAAGAGUUGAUAUUUUUUAACCUUUUUUUUUUUUUUUGUUUUUUUACCUAAAAAAAUAUUUUUUUUCUACAUCUUGUUCGUAUAAGGAUAUUAAUUUAUUUUAUAGACUAAUAAAAAGAUUAACAUCCUUCUUCUUCUUCAGCCUACAAACUAGUUCAUCACCACCACCGACAACCUCCAUAACACUGUUAAACGUUUAAAUCCAACAUCAACAAUAGCAAACAACACCAAGAACCAUUUCCUUCCAAUAAACAAACACAAACUAAAAAUUCUUAUUCAUCGUCAACUCAAACUCAUACCACAAUCUCCGUCAUCAUCAUCGCAAUACCAGAAAACAUUUUCCCUUCAAACUAACAAACCCAAACGAAGAAACUUGCAAACUCGCUUUUGUUGCCUAUAAUUGGAUUUGCACCAUAAGAAUUUUGUUUGUGAAUUUAGAUGGUUUUAUGCUUUUAUGUGGUCGAACGUGGCAUUUGAAGCACUUUCCAUUAACAAUGUUGAUAAACUUUUUUGAACAAACAAUGUUGAUAAACUUAAAGUUGGAUGCAAUAAGCUAUUAAGGUUCAUAGUGCAAAUCGUUUUCUUUUGUUGCUAAGUUUUUUUUUGUUUUUAAAUCUUUCUUUUAUUGGAUUUGGUCCCUUGCCAAUUUCAUUUUUUUUGGUUUUCGUCCCUCUCACUUAUUGACUAAUCAACUCAUUUGCCACGUGUCAUUUGCUUGCCACAUCAUCCAUUGUCACGCCAUCAUCUGAUUGCUCUCAUACAUGUUUUUGUAACAAAUGAUGACAGCAUGAAUGAAAAUCAAAACGUUUGCAUCUUACAUAAUUUGUAUAAAAAAAUGUUUUGAGCCUGAAUUAGAAGAAGCCCGAUCUCUUUUUUUACCAUAUCAUUAAAAAUUUAUAAAGACAAUAUUUUAAACUUUUCUAAUUACCUUUUACGCCAUCAAUCACUUUUAUAUUACCAUUUUUGUAUGUGUAUAGAAUUUUUUUAUACAAUUUCGUCAAAUUUAAUGGAAAAUAUAACAUAUAGCACAACUCUUUUAACAAAGGUUAUAAGUUCAAUCCAGCUAUGAAAUGUAGCAAUGUUAAAUAUUUUGAAGAGAAGCAUUGCGAUUCAUUGCUUUUCAUCAUCUCCCAUUUUGAUGAAUGAAUUGGUAGCAAUUCUCUUUUUAAUUCGUUCAUUCAUGGGUGGAGCUGGGCUUUGUUUCUUCCAUGCCUCCUAAUUGGCCUUUUAUGUAACUUUGCUUUUCGGAAAUUGUUUUUCUCCAUUUUGUUUUUGCUUAUUUUAUUUAUAUGUCUACGUGAGGGACGUUAUACCCCCACACCUCUACACUUAUAUCUUACCCAACAAUUUUUAAAAAUUCCAAUUUUACCCCUUUUACUAUAUAAUCUUUUACACAUAAAUUUUUCACCCUCAUUUUCAACAUCUCUUAAUUAAGGAUGAGUUCACCGCCACAUGAUAUUUUUCUUGAUACUUAUUUCCUUUUUUGUUUUUCACUAUCAAACGUUUCCGAAAAUAUUUCGGAAUAUUCAUAUAUACGUUUACAAAAAUAAUAUGAGAACUAGUCUCUCUUCAAAUGAAUGAUGCAACACAACUUAUCUUUCUCCUUUGAUGGAAAAAAUUGUUCUAAUACCAAUUAUUGAAAGAAAAAAUCAAUAAAAAAUCUUUAAACAAGCGGCAACACAACCACAAAAUAUGUAAAAGAGACAAAAACAAAUCACAAGACUGUUUAUCGACACUUCACACCUUCAUUCAUAAUAUCUUAACAAAAUAUUUGUUACAAAAAUAUGCAUACUUUUACUAGGAAUUGCAAACCCUCUUAUACAAUUAUAAUUUUUGCAUAGAUAUAUGCAAACUAAUCUUUCUCAAUUACAAUUUUUGUAAGAAAAACUACAAACUCUUUUAUGACACACAACUACCCAACCUCUUUUUUUUUUUUUCAUUACUCGAUGUGCGAUGUGAAAGAAUAUCAAUUUUAGAGAACAAAUGACUAUAAUUUAUAGGUGGCCUUUAUGAUUUUUCGCACAAAUUUUCAUACUGUGAAAUGUGAAUAGAUGCAUGUGCAGAGAUGGAGUUCAUAAUUUAAAUCUUACGUUAAAAAUAAAACAAGUUUUUAAUGUUAUAGUUUAAAAAUAAAAAAUUGUUUCUUAUAUACAAUAUUUUUAUGAAUAUUUACAUAGUUUUUAAAAAAAAUUAAUAAUGAAUGGUAUAUUCGUGUCCUGUAUGACACAAUGAAACAUAUGCACAUGAAUAAAUUAUACAUUAAGCCUAAUCAUAUGAUCUGAAAAGAUUUUCUCUACAUCUCGUCGAGCUAGCAAGGUAGAUAGAUGUCAACUAAUAUAUAUACAUUAAUUUUUAAUUUGAAUUUUUUUUAACAGCGUUGGAUUGACUUAUAUGUGAUAUUUUAUUUCAUAUUAGGGUAGAGUCUGCUCAUUGGAAACUGAAGCAAAUGUUGGAAAACAGCAAAGAUGACUUGUGCAAAUGUUGGAAGGGUAUGCACAACAUGAAGUUGCAAUUAGGAAAAAUCAUAGCUUCAUUUCAAAAAAGUUUUUAUGAAGUUGAACACGCACACACAAGUCUAUUUUAUGAAAAAUUGCGUGGAUUUGUUUCUAGAGCUGCUUUAACAUGCAUUGUUGUUGAGUUUGAAAGAGUUAGAUAUAUGGAAAUCGACGAAUCGACAUGUGGUUGCAAACUCAGAACAACAUAUGGAUUGCCUUGUGCUUGUGAGUUAGGAAGAUAUAAAAUUAGUGGUAUACCUAUACCAUUAGAUUCAAUUCAUAUUCAAUGGAAGAAAUUAAGCAUGGAAAAGUCAACAAGAGGAAGACACGGAAACUGGAUAAAACGAUUGAAACUAAUAAAACCUUAUUAUAUGACUAAUAGAAUAAAAACACCCCCUUUGAAUUACAAAGUGUGGCUAGAAGGGAACAAAUACAUUAUACAGUAUAAGCAAAGAGUGUGUUAAUUACUUACAUGACCAUACCACAGGGAGCUUUUCUAUACUUGACAUUAAAUUUAAGACAGUACACGUUUACUUAAGCUUAAUUUUACUAUAUUUAGUUAGCAAAAACAGCUUUUCAACUACAGUAGUUGUUUGAAUCCUUUAAAAAAAUACAAGUAAUUGUUUUAACUUUUAAUCACACAAAUAAACUACUCCAAAAUCCAAAUACAUAAACAAGCUUGGCUAAUGUGCUCUUGAUCUUUACAGACAAAGCAACAAUCACCCUUUAAAGUCUAAACAAUCCCAUUACUUAGAGAUACACAUAAGAAAGCACAAAGAAGCCAAAUCCGAUAUAAAAAAUAAAUGUGAUACAUACACAAGUCACAUAUAAAUAAUACUUCAUCAUCAGGGAACAAUAUAUCAGUCUUUUCCAUGUACAACGAUUCAUUAAGCAAUUAAAAUAGCAAUUGCUAAUAAGAGGCGCGGACAUGACCUCAAAAUAACAGAAUUAUCACAACAGACAACAAGUAAGGAUGGAAUAACACAAUUAAGUAAGUAAUGGACAUAGUAUGAAUAACUAAAUGAAUUCUACGAAAACAAUGUAACUAUAUUUCAUUUCCAUUAAUUGCAUAUAUAGAGGUAACCUUGAUCAGUAGUAUAUCUAUGCCCAUUAAUUAGUAUAUCUAUAAAAAAAAAUAGUAGAUCAUGACAAAAGCUACUUCAGAGAGUUAAACAAAAAAUUAAAAAAGUAAUUUUUUUUUGCGCCUGAACUGGAAUUCUUGGCCAAACGAUUCCGGGAAUAAUUAACCGAAAUACUUUGAACGCGUUUUCCGGAAACUACCGGAACACUUCACACAUGGUUUCCGGAAAUCAACCGGAACACUUUGGUUAACACGAUUCCUCGGACGAUUCCAUGAAAGGACGACGGCAAUAUUUCCAGAAAACGGUUUCGUGGAAGGAUUUAUAACACUAACCCAGAAAAUUUUGAAAAACCUAACCGUGAACGAUUCGUGAAUGAUUCCAGAAAAUAAUUCAGAACAAACACAUGGAAUUAGUGGAUGAGACAGAACACAGAAUCAGAAUAAAUGAUGCUUACUUGUUUGUUGGAAGAAGAAUCAGAAGAGGGUUUUCCAGAAAAGGGGAUUGAACGUUGAAGGAGAAGGGUUUAGAGUGUGUGGGGGUGAAAAGUGAAGGGUAAUUUUGGUAGUUUGUGUUAAAUGUUGGGGUAUAGGUAUAAAUGUAGGGGUGUAGGGUAUAACGUCCCUACGUUAACUCAUGUUGAAAAAAUCGAACGUGAGUUAACUCACGUUGGGCAUAAUUAAGGGAAUGAGCAAUUUAUUGCUUUUUUCAAAUAAAAAGUUGCUUAAAAACACAUGAAAAUGACACAAACCGCUGUAGUUAUCUAAGCUUAGGGUUUUUGGUCAUUUUCAUGUGUUUUUAAGCAACUUCUUAUGUGAUUUUUUUUUUUUUUUUAAUGUUUGUAACAGCUAAGUUUAUCAACUAUUAGUCAGCUUAUAGUUUCUUAUAAUAAUAUGAGAUUUCUUUUUGGGCGAGCGUGUUUAGUUUUUUUUUAAUAAAAAUAGAUAAAUAAAAUAACUUUAAUCAUUUAAUAGUGUUUGUUUAGGUUUUUAUUUUAAAUAUUAUUGUUUUACUCUAAAAUGAAAAGCUAUUAGAAUUAACUAUCUUUAAAAAUUUUUUUUUUUUUUCAAAAAUAUAGAGGUAACACAUGAACAAGUUUUUCUAAAAAAAAAAACAAUUAUUUUUAUAGAAGUAAACAAACAGAAAUAAUUUCAGAUUUUUUAAAGAAACCUCUAAAAAGAUCUCUAGAUUUUUAUAAUACAAAAUCUUUUUUCUUUUUAAGUUGAAACAAAACACCCUUAAUCUCUUUUAUUUGAUUUACCCUAGUUACAUCGCAUAAACCUUGAAUUUCACCAUUUCUAGAAAGAAAAAAAAAGGGUUAAAUAUGUUUUUGGUCUCUAUAAAUAUACCAACUUUUCGUUUUAGUCCCUCUAAAAUUUUCCUUCAACUUUUAGUCCCUAAAAAAUUUUCAAUUACUACUUUUGGUCCCUAUUUUUAAUUUAAUUUUUGUAUUUUUUAAUAAAAUUGUACAGAAAUGUGUAAAAUAUUCUAAAAAAAAUAAAGAAAUUAGAAUUUUUUAACAAAACACAAAUUAAAUAUGAAUUUUUAACUGUAAAAAAUAUAAAAAUUCAUAUUAAAUUCAUGAUUUGUUAAAAAAUUCUAAAUUUUUUUUGAAGUGAUUCUUAUAAUAUUUUGAAUUUUUAUGGAAAAUUUUAUUAAAAAAUAUGAAUUCUAGAUAUGAGUUUACUUUAAAAAGAGACCAAAAGUGAAAAUUGAAAAUUUUAUAGGAACUAAAAGUUGAAGGAAAAUUUUAGAGGGACUAAAUGAAAAGUUGACAUAUUUAUAGGGACUAAAAAUAUAUUUAACCCAAAAAAAAAAUACCCUUAAUUUGUUUUCAAAUUUUAACGUGACCACUGCAGCAACUAUAGACAAGGGAAAAUAUGGCGAUACACGCAGACUCCAUCGGUAAGAAACCUAGGUGUUUCUAGAAAGUUUAGUGGAAUAAUGAUAGUCAUAGUUGAGUCUCAUUGUUUACAAAUGCCAUUUGUAAAUUUUAUUUUGAAGGUGAGAAAAACACAAGAAGGGGGUUGAAGUGUGUUAACUUUUUCUUUUCUUUCUCUAUCUGAAACAAGCAGGUCAGAAGCAGGUAGAAUUCUACUUCUGAAGAGAUGUUCAGAACUAAAUGCAGCGGAUACGAAUAGAGAGAAAGAGAGAAAAAAGACACAGACAAUUUAUACAGGUUCCUUCCACAAACUGGAAGUCAGUCAUGUCCCCCUUGCACUUCCAAGGGGAGUUCACUAUGUAAUAUCUGAUUACAAAUGCUCACUACUAAACUUAGUAUGAGACUUCAAAUUGCUCAAGCACAACUGCAAGAGACUUCCUAUGCUCCUGAACACAAUCAAGAGACUUCUAUUGCUCAAGCACAACUGCAAGAGACUUCUAAAUUCAAACAGAAUUACAAUGAAAAAUGUUUGAGGUUGAACACUUGAUAUACAAUCAAUGGUGUUCACAAUACAAAUCACAGACUCUAGAAUUCCUAAGAUAUAAGCUUUGUUAUGAAAUUCUAAGUGAACUUUGAAGUGAAGAGCAAUUUCAACAGAGUUUUAGCUUAACUGAUGCGUAGUAUUGUUCUUUAGUAACUCUGAGUCUUCACUCCUUUAUAUAGAGUUGUGAAAGAGACGUUGAAAUGUCUUCUUAUUCAAAAUAGAGUCGUUUGAAGCUCUUGAUCUAUCACCAAUGAUCUUUUGCCUGAUAUGGUUAUUGUCCUAUGAAGGAUCAAUUUCAAAUGUGUUCCCAAUGUGAAUAAACAUUGUUGCAGGCAGAGCUGUUAUCCUUGUCUUGUAGCAGAGACAAACUCAUAAUAGUGGAGGUAGUGGUUGUACACUUCGUACAAACGUACUAUGUCAACGCUCUUUGAAGAAAAAGCAUCCAAUGCAUUUCAAAAUAGUCGUGCCACAAUUUUCCAGUCUUCUGCAAUCUUUAGGCGAGUUAGAGUCCUUGAAACAGCUUUUGAAAAUUUAAGUUCAAUCUUCUGAUGAACUGCAGCUUCUGGUGAUACACAGCUUCUGAUGAACUUGCUUCUGAUGACGUCAUCACUUCAGAAGCACUUUGUCUUUAGGCGCACUUCAAACUUCAGGAGCAGUUUUCUUCAGACGCUCGAAGCUUCUCUUUUUGUUGAUAUACUUGCUCUUUAUUUGUUCUUUGAAGACCAAUUUAAUAUGACAAUUUUUUUUCUAUAGUCCUGUACACUUGAACAAAUAUUAGCGUAUCCAAUUGACAAUUUUUAAUACUUUAUUAUCAUCAAAACUCUCAAGGGUUAUUAUUGCUAAACAAAUUUUAUUCCAACACAUUUUACAUACAUAAUCAAUCAAACAAUAUGUUACUCGCAUUUCUUUUUACUUUAUAUUUAGUUAUGUUUUUAUUAGCUUAGUUCUCAAAAAUCACAACGGAAGAACGUAGUUUCUUUCUACUUUAUACUUACACUCUUUAAAGAAUGGAAGAACAUCGUUUCUUUCUUGGCAUAAUCGUUUGGAGGAAAAGAGAAUCAUUGUUGAGAUCUAUUAGCCAGUUCAUCAGCUAAUUUGGCAACAAUUUGUAAUAAUAAAAUUGUUGUAUUAAUAAAAACAAAGCAAGGUGAGGACUAAAAAUUACCAAAUAACUGUGUGAAUAUUGGUAAUAAGAUAGGAAAUAAGAGAAGGAGUGAUAAAGAAAGGGGUAAGGGCUACAAGGGUCAGUGGCCCCAAACCAUCAUCUACGAAGGACACAGUAGCCUGUGCAAUAGCAGCAUGUACAAUAGUGACAUAUUUUACCCUCCAAUUCAUCACUCUUUGCUAGCAAGAAAACUUUUAAAUUUUACCACACAUAAUUAAUUUUCCAAUACAAAUUAAAUGAAAGAAAACACACAUAGAAAGAGAUAUUGUUAUAUAUGCAUACGGGUGGACAAGCAUGCAUGUAAAGUAGCAAAAUAAAUUAUUUAAAUAUUCAUAUGACACAAAAUGAUUGAGGAAUAUAACAAGAGAGGGUAGCUAAAUUUUACACACAAGAAAACAAUAGCCAGAAGAUAAAUAGCUAGGUAUAUUGUUUUCUUCUCCUCGUCUCUUCAUUACUCUUGUCUCCUUAGAUCCUUUCCUCUUGCAACCUUUUUGCUCUCAAUCUGUGAGUUUUUUUUUCUACUUUUUCUUCUGACAUGAAAAAAACAACCACAAAAAAAUCAAAUAUAUAUAUAUUUCAGCUCUUUCUAGCUUCUUUAAAUUAUUUUGUUAUAUAGUUUCUUUAAUUUAACUGAUCUCUUUUUUGUUAUCCUUGUUCCAUGAGAGAAGGAAACAUGUUAAUGAAAUUUUUCUUUUAGAAGAAGAAUUAAACAUUUGAUUAUUAAGUUUUUGUUUAAAAAUUUCAGAUUGCAAAAUAUAUAAUUAUGGCGGCUGCUUCUUCAUCUACAUCAUUCUUUGGAAUCAGAGAAGAAAAUCAAAGUCAAAUAACACAUCAUCAUCCUCAUCCUCAAUCAACUACUACUUCUGCUACUUCCUCAGCUCCUUCAACCACAGUUCCUCAAAAGAAAAGAAGGAAUCAACCUGGAACACCAAGCAAGUAGCUUAAUUAUUUUUAUUUUCAUUAUUACUUAAAGCUUCAACAUGCACACACCCUUCUCGAAUUUUUUUUUUUUUUUUUUUUUGUAUUAUUUUCUCAAAAAACAAGCAUAAUGAAACCCUAAAUCAUGAACAUGAGUUAGGGCUCUGAAUUUCUUUUACAAAAAAGCUAUAUAAGAACUAUGUUUAGGGUGCAUGCAGUCUCCUCCAAUUUUAUUCUCAAAAGCAUAUGAGACUUCGGUUUUAAUUUUUGUAAUAAUUUUUCUAACUUCUACUGUUUUUUACUACUAUUACCAUGAGUUUGUGGCUUUUAAAUGGAAAAAAUAACAAUAAAACAUAGUUCUUCAUUUCAUGGUGCAUAUAUAUUCAAUUAUGAAUACUUCUUUUGAUGUUAAAAAAACUAGAAUUUUAUAAUAUUUUUCUUAUACAAAAAAAUAUAUAAUAUUUUGUUGUUUUGGCAUUUUUCAUGGUAAAAAGAUCCAGAUGCAGAAGUGAUAGCACUAUCUCCCAAGACUCUAAUGGCAACAAAUAGAUUUAUAUGUGAGGUUUGCAAUAAAGGGUUUCAAAGGGAGCAAAAUCUUCAACUUCAUAGAAGAGGACACAAUCUUCCUUGGAAGCUAAAGCAAAAGUCCAACAAAGAGCCAAGGAGAAAGGUUUAUUUGUGUCCUGAGCCCACAUGCGUCCAUCACGACCCUUCAAGAGCUUUAGGAGAUCUAACUGGAAUUAAAAAGCAUUUCUCUCGUAAGCACGGUGAGAAGAAGUGGAAAUGUGAAAAAUGCUCAAAGAAAUAUGCUGUUCAAUCUGACUGGAAAGCACAUUCUAAGACUUGUGGUACUAGAGAAUAUAGAUGUGAUUGUGGCACCCUCUUCUCUAGGUAACAAACAUCAUCUUUAUAUUUAUAUCUUCACAUCGAUGUUAGUCUAAUUAUAUUUCAUAAAUAUGAAUUCAUCACUCUAUAUACAUAAUAUAUGCUACACUUUUGCCAAAUGUUAGGGUUAUACUUAUAUGGUUUGGUAUUGAAUAUUAUUUUAUUUUAUAGAAGUUAGUGUUUGAUUAUUUUUUUACUACCAAUUUUAUUAUAAGAAUUCGAUUAUUUUAAUCAUGUUUUUUUUCAUCAUUCAAUUGCAAGGAAAAUGGUCAUAAGUCAUAACAAUCUGAAGUUUUGCAAGAAAGCAAGUAAAAUCCAACCAAACCGUAGAUCAAACUCAUAGACUCCUUAUAUAUCGUUCUCUUUCUUUCCUCUUCGUAUUGAGCUCUAAUUUAUCUAAAUUGAAGUACUCUUUAAACUUCUUUACUAAGGAACCUUUUACAUAUAAAAAGGUGUGUGUAUAUAUAUAAAUAUAAUAAGUUGAAUUUUUUUACAAUAAGUAAAAACACACAAAGGUUAAAUUUGAACAACAGUCUCUUUUAUGUUCUUAUCCCAAAAAAAAGUGAACAAGAGCUUUCACCCUUUCUCUGUUAGUUUGUGUUUGGGUGUUAGUGAAGGUGUAUAUUGUAUGGCGCAGGAGACUGCAUGCACGUGAGUACACUGUUCAAAUGUAGUACAAAAAUUGAAAUGUUUGAAGGAAAAAAAAUCAACUUUGGUUUUAGGGAACCGUGCCCAUAAUCUUUUAACGUUCACGUGUAGUGAAACAACAUAAUAACUUUGUUCUCAUAUGAAAUGGAUUGGAGGAGAUGCUGGGUUUUGUUCUCUUUCUUGUUAGCUAUUUCUAGUUUUCAAAAUUCAAAUACAUUUCCAUGUUCUUUUUAGCAAUGGGUCCAAGGUGACUAAUUUCCAUGUUACUAACAGAAAAUUCUCUUCAUUAAUUGGUCAUGUUUCUCAUAUAGAUUUGCUAGAAAUUAUGUGAUAUAACGAAUUAUCUUGGUAGAAUAUAGACAAGUAUUGAGGUUGCUUGCAUUUAUUAAGUAGGCCCCAUAUUGAAAUUUUUGAGUAUUGACUUUCAUCAUAGUUGCAAACAAUUCUCUCUUUUAUUGAUCAAAGAAAGACCUCAAAUUAGAAGUUUGAUUUAGAAAUUCUUGGUUUGUUUCAAAUUUUGGCAUAAUCCCAUGGGCCCUCUACUUCAAUUGUAGUUUUCUUAAUUUCAACAUACUAUACUAGUUUCAAUUAAUUCCAAUUAAAACAAUUAGGUUACUCAUAUUCAUUACACAAAUAUAUGGGAUUAUAAUAUGAACUUCCAAAGGCGAACAUAACUAUUUUUGGUAAAUUUUAAUACAAUAUUAGAUAUGUUCUCCUUUUUACUAUAUAUGGUAGGGGUCUACAUUAUACCCACCCAAAAAAAUUGACAAUGAUAUAUAUAUGUUGCUUAAUUCUUUGUAAUUAAUUUUGGUGCAGGCGUGACAGUUUCAUCACUCAUAGGGCAUUUUGUGAUGCACUAGCACAAGAGAGUGUAUUAAGACACCAUAACCCUUUUGGGAGUACUCAUCAAUUGUAUGCCACAAACCAUCACAUUAGUUUAGGCCAAAUAUCCCAUCAAUUGCAAAAUCAUCAGAACCAAAUUACAUCAUCCACUAGCAACAAUAACAACCUUUUGCGCCUUGGAUCAGCACCACCAAAAUUUGAACAAAACUUAAUCUCAUCACCACCUUUAAAUCACUCUUCAUCAUUUGGACACUCAAUCCCAUCUUCAUCACCAUUCUUCAAUAUGAGUGAUAUUUCAAAUCAAUCCUUUGAAGAACAACAAUCUCAACAAGGACAAUUCUUAAACAAACAACUACAUGGUCUAAUGCAUCUUCCUGAUCUUCAAGGCAAUACAAAUACAAACAAUUCAAAUUCUUCCAAUCUUUUCAACCUUAUGGUUCAUGAUCAAUUCAACAACAUGAGUAGUACCCAAGGAACAACACUUUACAUUAACAACAAUAGCUCUUUAAGUGAUCAUCAAGUUGGUUUUGUCAAUUCAAUGCAACAUGGUCAAAACAUGUCUAGUCCUCACAUGUCUGCCACUGCAUUGCUUCAAAAAGCUUCUCAGAUUGGUUCAACUAAUUCUACCAACAAUAACAAAGGUAGUAAUAAUGAUCAUAAAUCAGGUGAUAGGGACUUUGUUGUGUCUGAUCACAACAACAUCAAUGCCACUUUUGGAAAUAGAAGUUCAAGUAUUGAAAAUGAUCAUGACAACAACGAUCUUCAUGGAUUGAUAAACUCUAUUGCAAAUGGAAACACAUCAUCCAUAUUUGGCAAUGAAAGCAAUCUUAAUAUGAGAUUUGGUGGAUCUGAUAAGUUAACUUUAGAUUUUCUUGGUGUUGGAGGAAUGGUCAGAAAUAUGAGUGGUGGAUUUUCACAAAGUGAACAACAACGUGACAUGAUGAAUACUAGUAUGGUUUCUUUGAAUCAUGACCUAAAAUCAGCACAUUCAAGUCAACAUUUUGGAAGCUCAAAUAUCUUGCAAUGAAGAUUGGGGUGAGAAAUUUAUUAAUUUAAGGAAAUAUUGCUUGUUAGUUACAUGUGAAUUAUUCAUUAAUUAAGUAGUAAACUUUGUUUCAAACAUUUAUUUAUUUUAUUUUUGUUUUCCUCAAAAGAAGUGCAGUUCAUUGGUAAAAUGAGGUUCCAAUUCUAGAAAUUACUACAAAUUACAAUCCCUUAUUUUAUUUUAACACGUCCCUUUCCUUAUUCUUUGCUCUCUAUGAUGUGAUAGAGAGAUGUAAUAAAUUCACUUUUGAAUUUCAUGUGUGAGCGAACAUGAGAUAAUAAAGUUUAUAGAAAAAAAAAAUUGAUUCAUUAUAGAUUUUCCUCUAAGAAAAUUAUUUCUCAAUCACAGAGGGUAAAAUUCCAUGCUCGAACCAAGAAAAAAUAUUCAACCUAACAAUUUCAGCAUUGUUAGUUGUGCUAGGUUUUACGGACCAGGACAUCAUCGUUGUCUACCAAUUUUUUUUUACAGAUUUGAGGCGAUUUAAUUUGGUUGAUAAACACGAGUAAAUUACUCAAAUGCCCCUUGGCAGUUAACUGCCGAAAUUUUAAAAAAUCGGCUGCAGUUAACUGUCGAGAAAUUUCAAACCUGAAAUUAAAUAAGGAAAUACACCUAUGUUUUCCUUAAUUAAAUUUAAAUCUUUAAUCCUUUUAAGGAAUUAAACAUAAUUAUUUUUAUGAUUUCAUUCAUAUGAUUUUGUUGCUAUAAAUGAAGAAAUAUGAGAGAUGAAUAAUAUCUGUAAUCGGUAGUUAAUAGACCUAAAAUGAUGAUUCAAUAAAAAAAAUGCAACAACAAAAACGUUACAAAUGAUAGAAUAAUUAUAUUUGUAAUUAUUAGUAAUUAAUUUCAUUGAUGUUGUUAUUAUUCAUAAGUUUGACUAACCUAUUAUUACUUUAUACUAAUAUUUUAGAUAUUAUUACUUUAAUUAACAUGAAAAACGCAACAACAAAAAAUAAGGGGGAUUUAUUGGAUUAAGAUUCUAUGGGAUUUUAAAAGAUUUUUUAAUUAUGAAAAAGUCUUGUGGUAUUCAAUCAAAACUUUUUGCAGCCGGUUCUUUAAAAUUUCAACAGUUAACUGUCGAAGGAUAUUUGAGUAAAUUACUCGUAUUUCUCAGUCAAACCAAAAGUGUGAACAGCAAUACUCAAUUUCAAAAACAUGUAUAUGCCACGGUAAAUAAAGCCAGUUGUUGACUUGUUGAUAGUUGUGUUGUUAUUACUUGUGUACAAAUGCUUACCAAACGAGGGUGGGAUGUUGGCACUCUGUUAUGUUAAGAAUCUUCACGUUUUGGCUAUAUUCCAAUGGAAGCGACAGAGCCUCAUUUCCGUUCAAUUUCAUCUUUGUUUUUUUAUAUACGACGUACAAAUACUAACUAACUAAAGGUACAUUAACUUUAAAAUAAAGCAAGAAAUUUUGUAGUAUUGCUUACCUAAUAUAUAUAUACCUUACUUUUAAAAAUACAUAUUAAAAUAUAUGUAAUAAAAAAUUAUAUUAAAUGCUAUAUAAAUGUUAAAUGUUAGAGUCUCACAUUGAAUAUGAGAAUAGUAUAACAAUAUGUUUACAAGUUAUUUAUAAUAGGUUCUUAAUAAUAAUACUAAAUAAAUAUCAAAACUUAUUUAUAUAGAAGUUAUUUUAGUAUUAUUAAGAGCCUAUACUUUUUUUUUGAGCAAAAGAGCCUAUACUUAAUUGAUAAGAAAUUGUUACCAAUAUACCAACUCCAUUAAGUACCAUAAAUUUGAGAAAGAGACCUUGCAUAUUUUUCAGGUGAUUUUGUUGACAUCUUUUUCUCUUAACACUAGGAAGGACCCUUUAGUUUUUCAUUGUAAUAUAAAUAUUCUUGUACAAGUUGACUACCUUUGAAUUUGCAUGUCGUCGUUGAUGGCUAUAUAUAGGGUUAGAUCUAACGUCAUUGUUCAUUUGGUGGAAGAUUUUUAUGAGGAGUGUGUGGUACAUAACAUAUGCAACAUAAAUAACAUAUUAGCAGUAGUCUCUGCAAUGUUCGUUAUUGUAAUUACUGGUAAAAUAGCUGCGACACUUUUGUCGCAUGUAAAUUCCUUCUUCACAUGGAAAUCACCCGUCCGUGAGUGAGUGAAUGAAUGAGUGACUAUUAACCAACCAACCCAGUCAUUUCAUUUCGCCUUCACUCUCUACCCGUUACAGUUUUUCUAACUUUCUUUCUUUAGAUUGAGUAACUUCAAUAAUGCAAUGCAACUAAAGAUUAUUACUUACAACUUCUAUGCUCAAAUAAUUGUUGCAAUGCAAUUAAACACUCACUCAUGCGUGUCCCCGUGAGCCUAAUCCAGUUUGUAGAGACAUUGCAUUAUAUAUAUAGAGGUUGGGGUUCAAACUCAAACACUCUACUUAUUCACCUUAAAAAAAAUGAAUUUAAGUCAAUUGGCUACCUGACUAAAAAAAAACGCACUCAUAUGUUUUAUUUCAUAAGCUGGUUUUAGACCUUUUUAUCUGAAAAACUUAUCUCACAUUGUAGUUGAUAUGUAUGGUUAGACCUUUUGUGAGGUUUGUGUGUCCCCUAGUCUAUCACUCUCUCACAGUUAAACUACUUUGUUUUUGAGAGGUUUGUAUACCUUACUUAAAAACAACUAUCAUUCUCUCAUCAAUUUCAUCAUUAAGCUAUUAAAAUUAACUAAAAAGUACCUAAACUAUUCUCACAUAUAACUAUUAGCCCCUUGGUUGACAAAGUUAAUUUUUUUUAUGAUGGUUUAUGGACUAAAUUGAUAUAUUUUUUAUAGUUUAAAGAUCUUCUAGUUGAUUUUAAUAACUCGAAGGCUAUAUAUGUGAAAAAAUUGAUAGUUUAAGGAACAAGUUGAUUGUUUAUUCUUAAUUUGAUUGAAGUCUACUGGCACACAAAUUUACAAGGAUACGGUGGAUAUGGGGAAGUUAUACCUGAUAUCCCUACAUUUAAUCUUUUACCCCCUACAAAUUGUUGAAAAUGCCAAAUUUACCUUUUAUCAUUUCACUUCACCCUGCAUAAAAUUUUAGCCAACAAUACACUUCCGAGAUUUAAUACUCCAAUUUUCGGAAUAUUCAUAUCAAAUUUUUAUGGUAGAUUAAUUUGUAAACCGGAACAAUUGAGUAAAGAAUUAUUAUCAGAAUUCUUUCUUCUUUCAUCGAGGUUUGAGAGACAAUGAAAGAUGGAAAAUAGAAUACAACAACCUGUAUUAGUUAAUAUAAAAUUAAGUGCAAAGCAAAGAUCAUGAUACCAAACCUCAUCAAUUCUUCUUCCAAUUCAUUUUAUUUAGAUCUAAAAAAAUGAAAGGCCGUAUAUUUCUGGAGUAGAAUUUUAGAUGUAAGGUUGGGAAAUCAAAAAACCUGGCUAAAACUGCAGAAACCUGUUUUCUGAAUUCUUUCUAAAAAAACAGUGUAAAAAAAUGCUUGUCUCUUUAUCUGUAGAUCUAAAAAAAAAUCAUUUCUAAUUCAUCUUGUUUGGAAAUAUGAAUACGAAAAGUUGUAUAUUUUAAUUUUUUUUAUUUUUACAAAAUACCGUUGUUGGGAAUGUGAAUAAUCUAAGAUUAAAUGUAGGGGUGGUAAAAGAUUAAAUGUAGGGGUAUAUGGUAUAAUAUCCUGGAUAUGGUAGGCUUAUAUUACUUAGAACCCAAAUCAUGUUACUUAGGCCCGUCAUCAUGGACUUUUUUCAUGUGGUUUCCAUGCAGGCUAGUUGAAUAUUGCUCUUUAGGCAUCCAUGUUUUGCUCUCAGACAUUUUGAAAUUAUUAUUUUACCUCAAUGAAAAUUAAUUACCAUUUGUUGAUGAACGAUGGUUAGUUUUCAUUCUCUUAUGAACAGUAGUUAAUUGUCGUUCUAGGGCAUUUUAUGUGGUUCAGAUUGCGCAGACAGUUUUUGUGGUCCACGAUACAUAAAAACUUCUAUAAAUUGGUGUGUUUGGUUCAUUUGAAACCACACCACAAAAUCAUGAAUAUUUAUCUAGUAGAUCCGAACACCAAAUUAGCGCAGUUAACUACAACGGGGAAAACUCAAUAUGUUUAGGGUUCAGGUUAAUGCUAUAUCGGUUGACUUGAAGGAACAUAGUUGGACCAAAUUAACAGUCGACUCAACCACAAAGACACAAGAAAGGUGGAAAGUGUUGAGUAUCGUCAUCCAUUCGUUUGACUCAUAUGAAAGCGUCAAGUUCACCCAUAUGAAGUUCAAGAACAACGACAUCGUGAGAACCAUCAAGUUAGACGCUUCAUUGGUCAAAUAUUUUUUAGAUGUUCCGGAAAGUUUGAUUCAGAUUAGGACCUUCAAAGAAAACAGGACUUGCAUGGAUAGACCAAAAGAAAUAAGUAUGUCUUAUUCGUGAUUUUGUAUGUGUUUUAUUAUGUUGUUAAAUUAUGUUAGUGUAUUGUGUUUUAUUAUGUUUAAUGUAUGUUUUUGUUAACUUAUGUCAUUGAAAUUAUGUUAAUGUAUUGUAUUUUAUUAUGUUUAAUGUAUGUUCUUCUGAGCUUUCCUUUGUAACUAAUGAUUAACUACAGUUUCUUCUGAAAACAACAAUUAACUAUUGUUCCUAGAAUGGGAGUUAACUCUUGUUUAACAACGAAAAAUAAUUAAUUAUUAUUUCGGAUAAAAUAGUCAAUUUGAGACGUGUUAAAACAAAGUAUGAGUGUCUAACGAACAAUUUUCAAGAUAGUUUAGUCCUUUUUGGGUUCUACCUUUUUUUUUUAUGAGUAACUUCUACACCUAGUUUCCAUUCUUUUUUGUGUUAAUUGUCCGAUUUCUUAGCAUGUGCGUAACUCACGCAGCGUGACUUAAGUCACACAUGUGUAAAAACUAAGUCAUGUAUUUUUUACACUUGCGCUAAUUAACUAACGCAAGGGUAUUUUCGGCAACACUGCAGGGCGCGAGUGUUUUGUGUUGGGUGAAGAGCAGAAUUCUAAAGUCAUAUAUAUAUAUUAUGGUUUUAAAAGGGUAAUUGCUAAAUCAGAUUCAUAGGAAGCAACUAAGUUAAUAUUGAAAGGGCAUGGUAAAGGGCACCCUUGUUCUCAUAUCAUUUCUCAUAUUUCUAAUUUUCUUGUCUAAUUCAUGAGUUACAAGUUUCAACGUGUCUAACGUGAAGCCAACAAAGUCGUGAAUGCUUUUGCAAGGAAUAUCCAACUUCAAAGUAUUAGCGCAGCUUUAACUUGAUGAACAAACUUAGAGUUUUCUAGGGUUUUAAUUUGAUUUUGUUGAAAUAGAGAGAGAAUGAGAAGAAUGGGUGAAUGAGGAGACAAGAAGUAUUAAAGUUGUGAUUUCAUUUAUAUGUAAAAAUACACAUGAAAGUAGCUUAUAUACAUGGUUUUUUGCUAGGUUACUUGAAGUACAAGUCAUAUAACAAACCCUAAAUACCUUAAGCUAAAAUCUAGUAAAUUUGUAACAAACUAUUAACAAACUAAACUAACUAGAUUUCUAAUGUGAUUAACCAAACAAGCUUGAUUAGAUCACUAACAAACUUGAAUUAUCAACUAACACAAAGUUGCGAUAAUAUAAAAAUAAUAUCAGAACUAGUCUCUCUUCAAAUGAAUGAUGCAUCACAACUUAUCUUUCUCCUUUGAUGGAAAAAUUUGUUCUAAUACCAAUUAUUGAAGGAAAAAAAUCAAUAAAAAAUCUUUAAACAAGCGGGAACACAACCACAAAAUAAGUAAAAGAGAUAAAAACAAAUCACAAGCCUAUUUUUCGAUACUUCACAGUUCACACCUUCAUUCAUAAUAUCUUAACAAAAUAUUUGUUACAAAAAUAUGCAUAGUUUUACUAGGAAUUGCAAACCCUCUUGUACAAUUAUAAUUUUUGCACAGAAAUAUUGCAAACUAAUCUUUCUCAAUUACAAUUUUUGUAAGAAAAACUACAAACUCUUUCAUGACACACAACUACCCAACCUCUUUUUUUUUUUUUUUUUUUUUCAUUACUCGAUGUGCGAUGUGAAAGAAUAUCAAUUUUAGAGAACAAAUGGCUAUAAUUUAUAGGUGGCCUUUAUGAUUUUUGGCACAAAUUUUCAUACUGUGAAAUGUGAAUAGAUGCAUGUGCAGAGAUGGAGUUCAUAAUUUAAAUCUUACGUUAAAAAUAAAACAAGUUUUUAAUGUUAUAGUUUAAAAAUAAAAAAUUGUUUCUUAUAUACAAUAUUUUUAUGAAUAUUUACAUAGUUCUUAAAAAAAUUAAUAAUGAAUGGUAUAUUCGUGUCCUGUAUGACACAAUGAAACAUAUGCACAUGAUUAAAUUAUACAUUAAGCCUAAUCAUAUGAUCUGAAAAGAUUUUCUCUACAUUUCGUCGAGCUAGCAAGGUAGAUAGAUGUCAACUAAUAAGUUGAUGAAAUCGGCUAAAAAAGAUUCCCAGUUGAAGUUUAUUAUUUUUUUGGUGCAACCCAGUUGAAGAUUUUAUUAACUUUGAUGAUGGCUCUGAACUACCAAGUUUUCUAGAACUUGAACAAGUCCUUAAUUUUAGUUGAAUUGCAAUACUAUGUCUAUAUGUAUAGUAUACCGUUUCUGGUUUCAUAGUCUGUUAAUUUUAAGGAAUUUUUUCAAGUGGCUCAAAAAAAACAUAUACAGUACAUUCUUUAGUUUUAUUUACAUCGUUUUCAAUCUCUUUCGCUUUUUUAAAUAUUUACGCAGAAAACAUUUUUUUUUUUUUUUCAAUCAGAAAGAGGCAAAAUUAAGAUUUGCAUUGGUUUUAGUCAUCACCUACUACAUUAAAUUACUAUUUGUGGAAAAUAUUGUUUAUAGCGUGAAACUGUGCUCUGACUGGCUCACAUGCAAACGGACAGUGGCAAUAUUGUUUAAGGAAGUAUUAAUCUUUUUUUUUUUUUUUUUUUUGACAGAAACCAUAUAGUAUUAAUCUAUUAUUACUACUAUAUAUGCAUAAAAAAGGACCAAUUAACCGACAUGCUUUGAGUUAUUUUGUGUUUUUUUUUUUUAUUGUUUCUGAAAAAAUCAACCAACAUGCUUCUUUUUUUGCGCUAACUAAAACUAAUUUAUUUAUGCUACUAAUCAAUUUAUUAAGACUAAAACUUGAGUACAAGUUAGUCUUUUUUUUUGUAGUUGGUGACCUACAAGUGGUACUCUUGUACUCAUUAUACUCAAAGUCAAGGGUACAUGCGUAUGUGUUAUGCUGAAUUCGAAAAUUCAUAGUCAAGACCCAGCAAUAUCAAGAUAUAUACACACAUGUCCUAAAGUGCAUUCUGGAGAAUAAGAACUACAAGUCUAAAGUUUUUCUUUUUGUUAGUAAAGUUAUUUUAGUCCAAGUUUAGACUAUACAACGCUGACUAUGAAAUAUGAAAGGAAAAAAAAACCUUCAAUUUUUGUCAAAAAAAUAAAUUCCAUUGUCUCUAACUAAUUAUUGAAAUUUUAAACAUGUGUUUGGUCUAACGGUAUGGUAGAAAAAAUCACGGCAAAAAUUCACGGUAACUACAAAAUCUAAAAAUUUGUAAUUUCUUUGAAAUUUGAGUUUGUAACUUCGAACGUCAAAUAAUCGUUCAUUAAGUCUCUAAAGCUCACAUGAUCAGACCAGCUUUGAUUGCAAAAUAUGACCAACUAAUUACUAAUAAACAUUUAAUUUUGUUAGCAGAUCAAUUUAUCUGUUUAAUGUUAAAAUAAAUCUGAUCCAAUUCAAUACUUUUGGACAUAGAUUGAAAUGGUUUCCCCCCCCCCCCCCCCCCCUUUUUUUUUUUUUUUUUUGUAAACUAGGUAUCCUCCGCGCGCAACUGCGGAGACUAAUCCCUCGAGCAUUGUGAGACCCAAAUGGACGGCAGACUCUCCCUAAGAGUUUUAACGCUGCUGGAGGUAUUGUAAAUAAUAUUUUGUGUUAUAUUAUUUUUAAGAGUGUAUAUUUCUAUAUAAAAAGAGUGAGUUUUGCCUUCAACCUCGAGGUAAUCGGUUUGAGACCUAGGCACUGAGAACAUGAGUUUUUUCGAUUAGCUCUUUAAAAAAUUAUUUAUAGGAGGAAUAAUUGUUUUUAUGGAAUUUGUCGUGUAAUAAAAAUCUAAAUCGUCUAGUCUACAAUUUUGUAUAGUCUUCAAUUAUGUUGUGAAUUCGGGCUUUGAAACUUCACACCAAUCCAAACUAUGAUGUGUGGAGAAAGUAUCAAUGGCAACCAACAACCAAAUUAACCAUAAGCAAUAACAAUAAUAUAUACCAAGUCUAUAAACCAAGUGCAUAGCAAAAUCACAAUCCAACCAAAUAAUAAACAAGAUAAAAGAGUAAAGAAAAAUAGACAACAACACCAAGAGAUUGUUCACCCAGUUCGGUCCAACCAUGACCUACUCUGGAGGAGAGAUUGAUCUCUUCAAUCCACUAUCAAUGAGUUCUUACAAAGAGAUACAAAUGAGUUACAAGAAAUUAGCUUCAACAAGCUCACAAAAAACAACCCUAAUUUCUACCAAUUUUCCCAAUCUCACCAAUGAACAAGACACUCAUGAUUUUUACUCUCCCAAGGUGUUUACAAUUGUUUCACAACUCUAGAAUCUAACCCCCAAAAGAGAACCAACUCUUAGCCUUUGAUUUCACUUAGGAUCUUCUCUUUUGGUUUCACAAGACUCACCCAAGUUGCUCGCAAAUGACUCUCCACUCAUGUGUUUCCCAACCCCAUGAAUCUUCUCCAAAAGGCACCAACCCUUUUCACAAGAGCCCCCUCUUUUGGUUCUCCAAGAUUCACAUCUUGAAGCUUUGAACCUCACCCAAAGACCCUCAACCUUUAGUAUCUAAAACCCUAAAAGUUUCAUCCUUUGGUUGUUAUGGGAUUCACCAAGCUUACCCAACAAAUGGAUCAGGGAGUGUUUAAAACAUGUUUCAGAUCUGUCAAAAUCGUGUCACAUUUUGCCUUCAGAACCAAACAUGCAUUCGGCAUCAGAAAUCGUGACACGGUUGCCAAAUCGUGUCAUGAUUCUUCACUUUCAUAAAGACUUAAUUUUGAGUCAUAUAUAUACCAACAAAUUCAAAUUAUAUAAAUGGACGGUAUAUUCUUUAGUAAAAGUAUUAUUUCACAAUUUAAUACGUAUUAUUAAAAGAAAUUAGAAACAAUUAUCAAAAAAUUAUGAUAGAUAAUAUAUUAAACUCGUCUAGUGUGUGUGUAUUUUUGAAGGAUAGUGUGUGUGUGUAUUAACAUCAUUCUCUAAUUAUUUUUGUAGGGAAACAAUGUUGGUUAAAUUGAUGUGUACUUUUUUUUGUAAAAAAUAAUCGACGUAUUUUUAAAUGAGAUUUACAUGUAGAGAGAGACAGCGGUAGACAUAGUAGUAGAACAAUUAAAAUUUAAAAGACCACUUUACAAAUUGCACCAAGUGGUCCUCUAAAAAAGAUCACCGACAGUUGCUUCACUUUACCUUCAUAUAUUUUAGAGCAAUGAUAUUUGAACAAUUAUUUAGUACAACAUUUUUUGACAAUCUUCUUUUUCUCUCUUUUUAUUGGUCAAAAAUAAUGAAGAGAAAAAAGAAGAGAUAGAGUAAAAAUAUAAUAUGAAUAUGAGAAAAAAAAUUGUCUAAAAAUUAUCACAAAAUGGUUGUACAAAUAUUAUUUCUCCAUAUUUUAGACACAGGCUAAUCAUUAAUUAAUUUGUGUAAAAAAAAACAAUAAUAUUAUUUUGACAACAUUAUUCAACACCUUAUCUUUCUUUCAAAAAACAUUAUUCAACACCUUAUGUUCAUAUUAUCAUUUGAUUUUCUUAAUUAUGUUUUACAUCAGUCACAUCAAGUGACAUUUUACACGCUUAUCAAUUUUUUUUGUCAAGUAGCCUAGUGUUUAGAACUCAUAUAAUUUAAUUGUGAAGAAAUGAAGUGUCAGAGAUUCGAACUCCAACCCCUGCAUAUAAUAUGCAAUAUCCCUACCAACUGAACUAAGCUCACGAAGAUCGCGGUUAUCAAUUUUUGUAGUUCAAAUAACAUCACUAAAAAAAGCUACGAGGCAGACGCACAAAUUUUCAUUGAGCAGUUGUGUUAAUUAAUUUUAUAACGCAAGGAAAAUGGUGAAGUUUUUGUGAAUAGAGAAAUGAUAUAUAUACAAUCAUUUUCAAACAACUUUUGUAAUAACUUUAUCUCUCAUUUUUAUAUUUUAUUUUUAUUUUUUUCUCUAUUAUUUUGGUUUUCGUUUAUGAUUUUUUGUAAGAAAAUGAUUGUCUAUGUAGUUAUCAAUCACAUUGAUGUUCAAAUAACAUUGCUUUUGUGAAUAAUGCAAAAUAGUUUCUCGGAACAAUCAAUUAUUCAAUUGAUAUUUACGAAAUUAGUUUUUGUAGGGUGUCCCUAUAAAUCACAUAUACUUUAAAACAGUCAUAUGUAUUCACGAUUCGAGAUCUUAUAAAAAAACCAUUCCAGAUCAUGUAUGAAAAUGAAAUAUAUAUUUUUUUUGACUGGUGUAUGAAAAUGAAAUAUUUUCAAAAAUAAAAUAUACUCUCUGCCCAUAUAAUGUCAGCGUAGGUGUCGGUGUUUUUCUACCGACUAUAAGAAAAACUGUAAAAUAAAUAAAACAAUAUAGUAAUUUAAAUUAGUGAUUGUAAAUUAUUGUCUUAAAUGUAUAGUUCAAUAUAAUAGAUUAAAAAUGAUGAAAAAAAUAUUAAUUUAAGAGUAGAAUUGAAAUAACAUAUAUGUUUUCGAUAGUUUAACUAAAUUGAUAAAGACAUUGCAUAAUAAUAUACAAGUGUUUUGAAAUUCCAUUUAUUCAUUACAUGUGAAUUUUUAGAUAUUAAACUAUUUGGAAAAUAAAAUAAAAUAUCAAAUAAUUAAGGUUUAAAUAUGUAAGUAGUCCCUGUAAUUUCGCGUAUUUUUGUUUUCGUUCCUGUAAGUUAUUUUGUUCUAAAACAAACUCUGUAUUUUGCUAACCUUUUGGAAAAGGUCCUUGCCGUCAGCUUCCGUCAACAAAAACGCCAUGGUGGCUAACGGAGCACACGUGGCAGUUCAUGAGUUGGCAAAGUUGAUGAGAUGGAAUGAGAGAUGAUAAGUUGUUAAAAUACAGGGACUAAAAUCAAAAACGUAAAUUGACACAGGGAUGAAAUUAAAAAAACGUUUAAUCUUCUUUUUCCUCUCAAAUUUCAGUCUUCUUCUUCCUCUCAAACUUUCCCCAAUCUAUCCCAUACCUUGCGCCCUUGAACCAAAACUCAUAUCCUUCAACAAUUUAUUCUAAUUCCAUUACUCAAUCAUAUUGUGUGUUUUGAUUGUAAUGUUAAGUUGAAACAUUGUAUGCUACUUAAGUUUGAUUAAUUUAGUGAUGGUUGUUGCGAUUGAUUGCAAAUUCAUUCAUAAAGUUUGUAGAUAAUAAAGGCAAGAAUACAUCUUUUUCAUCCCUCUUUUUUUUCCACAAUUCCCUCUUAUUCUUCCAGAUUGCUACAAUUACCAUACAUAAAUAGUCAGAUCCCCUUUCAUCUUUUCUCACUCACAUUCAAAUUCAAACUCUAAUUUCUCAAAUUUUUGCUUUUGAAUUGUGUAAUUUUGUGUUUUUAUGUAAUUGGUGUAGAGAGUUUAUGUUGUUUUAAUGUGUUGAUUAAGAGUGGGUCUUGUUGUUGUUGAUUGAUGAUUAUUAGUUUUGUUUAAAAAAAUAUAUAUGUUUGUUGUUUUCUUUCUUUUCCUGGGUUUGGUGUUGAUGAUUUAUGAAUAUGGUGAUGAAGAUGAAGAAGACAAUGAAGGAAGAAGAAGAAUAAGAUCUUGAUUUUAAAUUUGAAAUUUUGAUUUUACGUUUUUUAUUUUAGUCCCUGUGGUAAUUUACGCUUUUGAUUUUAGUCCCUGACUUUACACAACUAAUCAUCUCUCAUGCCAUCUCAUCAAAUGUGCCAAGUCAUGACCUGCCACCUGUGCUCCGUUAGCCACAAUGGCGUUUUUGUUGACAGAAGCUGAUGGUAAGGACCAUUUUCAAAAGGUCAAAAAGAUACAAGGUUUAUUUUAUAUAAAAAAAAAAACUUACAAGGACGAAAACAAAAAAUACGCGAACUUAGAGGAACCUUUUACAUAUUUAAGCCAAUAACUAAUAGCACUUAUUUUGGUACAUUUCUCUUUUGCAAAUGUGAAACUUAAUAUUGGAUGGGGUCAAUAAUUUUGAGAAUGAAUAAACCCAUUAUUUAGUCUUUUAAUUUUUUUUUUCCAUCCAUCAGGUUUCUAAACUAUUUACAAACACUAAAUGUCCUUAAGACAUAGCUCAAGUAACAAUAUUGAUAUUGAGAAGUUGGAUAUUUUCAUCCGAGUUUGAACUCGAAUUCUUGCAAUUACGAGUGUGAAUUUCAGGUAAUUUAUAUCAAUUUAUCUGUAAACAAAAGGAGAUAUAUACGCGUAACAAAUAGGUCUAAUGCAAAUUAACAACUUAUUUUUAGUUUAUAAAAUAUAUGAAAUUUAAUCCUUUAGUCCCUAGUAUAUUUUAACAAUGGGCACUAAAGCAACAUAUAUUUCAUAUAUUUUAAAUACUACUACAUCUUUCCUUAUGUAUAAGCUCAUUUGACAUUUUCACAUAUAUUAAAAAAGUUAGUAGUGUCUUGACAAAAAAGAAGCUCCUUAGAGUUUCCUUAUGUAUAUUUUUUUAAACCGAAAAAAUUGUGUACAAAAAAUGACUAUUAUUACUAAAAAAAAUCUUUUGCAUAUAGAUGUGUUCAACAUUUAUUUUGCAAUUCUCAAGACAAAUCAGUGGUACAUCUUAAUAAGUGAUAUAUUUGUUAGGAAAAAAAAUUACUAUAUGUAUCUAGUUAUUUGCAAGACUAAUGAUUCUUAGCAAAUAUGCUUAUAUUGAGAGAACUUUUUUCUAAAGAGAGCUUAUAAUUAGAGACUAAGAUUUUGCCAAAAAAUAAAGAAAAAUUAGAGAAUAAGGUUUAUACUAUACUUUAGAAACUAAUUUGAUGAGAUACGACUAAAUCGAAGAUAUAUUUUUUUAGAAUAGUGUUAGAACCUUAGAAAUUAUAAUCAAUAGAAAUAGAAAUGUUCCUUACAGAUCCAUAAUAGUGACAAUCUUGUCUUUUCUUUUGAGGAAAUAAUAAUAAAGGUGGUGCCAACAUUUCAACAAACCUAGCUAUUUUAAUUAUUCUGUUCUCACAGCCUGCACCUUAGAUCAAAUCCAAAUUGGGUCAUCACCGUUCCAAAAUGCUUAGGGACGUUACUCUAAAUGUCAAUAUGAAUGAGUAAUUCAAAUAGUUAACAUAGCCCGCCAGCCUUAUAUAAUAAUAUCAAUAUAUGUCGACUAAUUAUCGAGAUGCUAAAUUGGAGUACACUUCACAAACAAAAAUCUUUCAUAAGGCGUUUUUUCUCUUAAUACAUUUUUUCUUUUCUUAUGCUAGUAACAUUUACUCUGUAUUGGCCUUCCUAAGAAGAAGUUGGAUAGUAGCAAUGUGUUCGUGAGACUGCUGAUAUCUUAAAAGAAUGUUCUCAUAGAUUCCACUUUUUUAGUAAGCUUUUAUGUGUAUGAGUUUGCAAAUUUAACCCUUUUUAAUUCGGAUAGAUUUAUAAGUCACACCUUCAAGUACAAUCGACAAAAUUUCAGUAAUAAUUACGGUUUAGGGUUUAUGGGUCUAGAUCUACUAAAAAUGAGUGGGUGUAUAAAUUAGUAUAUCCUAGAGUUUAUUAUCUUACGUUCGAUCUUCUUUGCAGAAACUCGUGCAUGUUCGUGAUAUAUAUUUUCGCGAGAAGUACAUUUCCCUAAAACAAAAUCAACCACUGACAUAAACACGUCAAAUGUAAGCCGGUAAAUCCAAGCUUUACUAACACGAGUUAUAUUAUAUCAUUGGCAUCAGCUACUUAAGAACUACUGUAGAAAAUUUACAGCAAGUCAUCGAGGCUUAAUAAAAUGUGUUGAUAUAGUUACAAAGAUAAAUUAAAUAGCAGAGCAUACAUGAAGAGAACAAAUGUAGAGCAACCCCUUAAACAAACCCUCUCAGUAAGGUAUCUUCACAUUACUCUAAGUUCAUAAAAGAUGACUUUAAAAACGAUUAUUUCAAAAUGCAAGUAUUCUCCGACCCCUUUUUCCCGGAUCUAGAUCUAAUAGUGUAAGGAUAUAUAUAAAUCAUUGUCACAUUUUACAACUCAAGAGUUUACCUCAACUCGUUUUGUUUAGGUAAAUUCGACUCGAGAACUCGUAUGACUUUACCUAAAAUUAAAAUUAUAUAAAAUUUAUUAUAUAUGCAUGACAUAUGUAAGUUAAUAUAAUAUUGUAAAUAGGUCAAUAGUGCAAAAUAUGACUUAAUUACAAAGACAAAUUAUACCAUAAUAAAAUGUUAUGCUCAACUUAGCUUCAAAAUACAAAAAUUAACGCACAAAAUCAUAAGUCUCUAAGUUUAAGCCAUCCAUAAAACCAUCCAAAAAAAGAAAGUUUCACAAGUUCCUAAAGUUAUUAAUAAAACUAUCUAAAAAAUAAAGUAGUUAAUUUCUUCAAAACGUCAACAAACACCACCACAACAACCCUAACCAGUGUCACAAUCACCGGCGUUGAAAUAUGAAUUUCCACCGUCUGAAUCACAACCCUAAAUGGUAUGUGCUCCCCUGUUCAUGGUUUGAGAACUUAGAAAAGAAAAAGGGCAAUCCGGUGCACUAAAGCUCCCACAUACGCAGGGUCCGGGAAGGGGUCCCACCAUUUUUUGUGUAUUGUACGCAACCUUACCCUGUUUUUGAUCACAAAAGAAAAAGAAACGUUUCAUUUUAGGAACAACUUGUCACUGUAAAGGUAACUAUUAAUUAAACGUUUCAGUCUUUGGGGUUGUAGAAAAGGAAUUGGAUUUUGAAAAAAAUGGGCACAUAAAAAGGGCCAAUUUUUAGAUGUAAACUCGUAAAACUCAGUAAACUCGGUCGAGUUUACACGAGUUUACCUAGUGUUAACUCGGUCAAACUCGUUAAACCUUCCAAUUUUACCAGAAACCGAGUUUACCUCCGAAUUAACAUGAUUUUGGCACCUACGUAAACUCGAAGAGUUAACACUCAAUUUGCGGAACAUUGCAUAUAUAUUUAAAGAUAUAUGUAUAAUUAUAGAGAAAGUAGAGAAGGGAUAUACCAUUUUAUGUAGGGUUAUUAUGUAUCAAAUCAUAAAGAGUCGAGAGUUGUAUUAUACCAUAAUAUUCUUCCGUAAACUGGUAGUCAUGAUCAUGACGUAUAUUAUUCAAGUAUAUGCAAAAACAUGUCUGUAUCUAGUCUAAAUUUUUGACCAAAUGCAUGUAUUUGCUUAUAUUUUGUUACUACUUACUACUCGCCAAGUAAUGCUCAAUAUCUAAUAUAUAUAUUUCAAGACCAUCAAAGAUAACUCAGUUGAACAAUACAUAAUAUAUGCAAGGUUCGGGGUAUAUUACAUUUUCAAUUAUUCUAAUAAUAAAUUUAAAUGACACUUAAAUUAUACAACUAUUAAAUAGAUCUUAGUACCGUAAAAUUUAUAUUCGAGACUUGCUAGGGAGAACCAUCAACCUCAACAAAAAUUUCUACUUGAAUCUAACGCAAACAAAAGGUCCAACCAUCUAUGAAUCUCCGUUGAUAUCACAAAUGAUGUUUGAUACAAGAGAGACAUAUUAGAACAUAAUCUAUGUACAAUCUACAUUAAAAUAAAAAACAAGUCUACAGUCAUAUAAAUAACACAAUUUCAAAAUCUCAAAAUUAGGUAUGAAAACAAAAUGAUUAGAAAAAUAAAUGAUUCAAUCAUUCCGAGAUUUGUGCAAAAAAAAAAAAAAAAACAUUUUGAAAAUACAAUGUUAGAAACUUAUGAUCAAUAUAUAUUUUUCCUUACACAUCAAAAAUAAUUAAGCUAUAUUCUUGUCUUUUCAUUUUGGGCAAACUAAAAUUAAAAUCAAGGUAGUGUCAAUGUUUCUAUAGUCCUAGCUAUUUGAUUUUCUUCUAAGCUAACAAGAGUCUUCCAAAAUCAAAUUCGCGCUCAAAAUUAAAGCAACUUGGGUGGUAACCAUUCCAAAAUACUUAGGGCCACAUUGCUCUAAAAGUCAAUAAGAAUAAGUAAUAAUUCAAAGAUAGCCAACCUUAUAGUAUAUUUUAAUAUGAAUGUAUGCAUGUUUCCUAGAAGGUGAGUAAGCUAACUAAUCAAGAUACUUUGUUGGAGUUAAAUAUGGUAAAGAAUCCAACUAUAAAAUGGGGACUUGCCCCAGCAUUCUUUCACAAACCAAAACCAACUUCUAAGAAAAAAAUGAGGUCCCUAAUGGCCUCUGCUUCUCUCACUCUUGCAUUAGCCAUCCUCUUUUUGAGUUUCCCAUCUGAAAUUUCAGCAAACAAAUACGCAUAUUCCUCUCCACCACCACCACAUUACUCAUCUCCUCCACCUCCACCGGUUCACACUUACCCUAAACCAGUCUACCACUCUCCACCACCACCAGUUCACACCUACCCUAAACCAGUUUACCACUCUCCACCACCACCAGUUCACAAGUACCCUCACCCUAAACCAGUAUACCACUCUCCACCACCCCCAGUUCACAAGUACCCUCAUCCACACCCAGUCUACCAUUCUCCACCACCCCCAGUUCACAAGUACCCCCAUCCUCACCCAGUGUACCACUCUCCCCCACCACCACCACCAAAGAAGUCCUACAAAUACCCAUCUCCCCCACCACCACCAGUUCACACCUACCCUAAACCAGUCUACCACUCUCCUCCACCCCCAGUUCAUCACACCUACCCUAAACCAGUCUACCACUCUCCUCCACCCCCAGUUCACACCUACCCUCACCCUAAACCAGUCUACCACUCUCCACCACCCCCAGUUCACACUUACCCUAAACCAGUCUACCACUCCCCACCACCACCAGUUCACACCUACGUCCCUCACCCUAAGCCAGUCUACCACUCUCCACCACCACCAGUUCACACCUAUCCCCCACAUGUUCCCCACCCAGUUUACCAUUCUCCUCCUCCUCCAGUUCAUUCCCCACCUCCACCACACUAUUACUACAAAUCACCUCCUCCACCUUACCACAACUAGAUAGCCCAUAAUUGGCAUCACACCAUAUGGUAACUUUUCAUGCAACAUAUAUAUUAUAACUUUUCAUAUUCUCUCUUUAUUAACUAGUUAUCGGUAUGAUUGUCGAGUAUAUACUAACAAGGCUAAUUUGAAAUGAAACUUCAUGUGCAAUGAAACAUUCUUUUACUGGUUAAUAUUUUAUUCUAUGUUUCAUUGAAAUUAAUAUUUUUCUAAUAGUAUUUGGUUAUUAAGGGAUUAGAGUAUAUCAGACAUAAACUGACAGAUCAAUAUAUUUGCAUUUGUGUAGGAUCUAAACAGAAAGUGUGAAAGCAAAGAAAGCCAUGCACAAAGAAGAUCAAGGGGAUUCUUCACAUAUAUUUCGUCAGCAUUUGAUUAAGAUUGUUUAGAGGGCUCCGUUUAUUUGUAUUUAAUUUGUGUUUUUGUUGUAUUAUCCACAGCUGUAAGGCACUGCCCCAAUAUGCAUGUGUCUGCAGUUGUUUUCAUGCAUUGUAAUUUUCAAAGUUCGGCUUUGUAUCAAGCUGACUCACAAACUAAAUAAAUAUAUAUCCCCUAUUAUAGUAAUCUGUCCCUUUCAUCUAUGACUCCUUUUAUAUUACUAUUCUUGUGAUAAAAAUAAUCUGUGUUUAUUUGUUUCUACUAAUUAUUUUUGGUUUACCUUUCUCCGUACAAAUAAAAUUUAGUUUAAAAGUGAAUUUGACAGCACUUUUAAGAGAAACCUAAAAGAAAUAGAAGAAUAAUGCUUCUCAAAAGAUUAAAAAAAGACCACUAUAUUAUAUAUAUGUGAACCAAGGAUCAUGUCUCAAUGUGUGUGUUUUUUCUUUUAACGAGAAAGAUCUAUAAUUAUAAUGUAAACAAGAGUACAAUGAGUACUACAACUCACUACAAAAAGAGGUGCAACACUUCAAACGAAAAAAAUAGCACACACCAUAAGCAAUACAAAAGCAUUAGUCUACAAAGCCAAUAGGGUGGCAUUUAACAUGGGGCAGUAAAAUUUUAUCCCACCAUGGAAAAGUGGAUCCAUUAUGGGCAGGUGGCAGUUUUAACUUGCUGCAGUUAAAAAAAGAAGAAAAAAAAAAUUACUUAUUAUUUUAUUCGGUUUCAACUUGCUAUUUCACCUCCUUGUUGCUGCAAUAAAAAAGGAUCUCCAGUAAAUUUGCUCCAAACCAACCCCAUCGGCCAUCUCUACACCUCAUCUGCGCCAAUCCACCAUUGUGUUUUUCUCUUACCAUCUUCAUGAGGAGCUGUUGAGAGUGAUGCCCAAUUGGCCAUGAAAUAUAUCCAACCAAUUUGCGCUCAAAUUUUCCAUGAAUGCAAAACAGACUCCUUUUGUUUGACACAUGCAUUUAUAUUUGUUUGGAUGGUAUCAUUGUGGAGAUGGUUGGAGAAAAUUUCAUGAAGUGAUUCUUCUAUUAGCUGAGGAAGAAAUUGGAAAAGAAUCAUUAUUUUUUUCUACCCAUUAUUUUAUAUGUAUAUAACUGUGUCGGUUUCUUUUCAAUUUUUUGGUUUGAAUGGAAUUUUAUUAAAUUUGAAAAACCAGUUUAUUUUUCCUCGAAAAAAGAAAUAGUUUAUUUUCUAAUAUAAAAGUGUUAUUCUACCACCUGACCAAAAAAAGUGUUAUUCUACCAAAAAAUAUUUAAUUAAAAGCGUUAAUUAUACCCAAAAAUACAAAAAAAAAAUUGCUUUUAAUUAGUAAAUAUGUUGUGGCUCAUACUCGAAGGUUACUUUAUAAGCCCCCCUCAUAUCUCUCUAGGCCCCCUAAAGUUACAAAAAUAUCCUCAAAUAACACAUUCUGUACAUACCUACGGAAGGUGAAUGUUUUUAAUUUUAUUUUUGCAGCUUCUGUACAUACCUACCGGACAGAGAAUUGAGGCAAAUAUUUAGGAAACUAAUAUGAAAAAAAGCCUGAAACUGAGUCCAUAAAUUCUCCAUUGAUGAAAAGCUUUUAAAACUUUAUAGUUGGAAUCUUUACAAAGGAGUCUAAGAUGAUGUGAUUUGCCAUCUCUAUUUCUCUGUCUACCUUUCAACAGGGACUACAAAGAGAAAAUUUUCAAUUGAGAAAAACUAUGAACUUCCUGAUGAACAAAUGGACAAGUUAUCACAAUUGGGGCUGAGAGGUUUCGUUGCCCAGAAGUCCUUUUCCAUCCAUCUAUGAUUUCAAAAUAUCUAUUUGGAAUGUAACUACAGAAAGUGUAAAUCUGAAAAUGUGAAAAUAUGCCUCCGGUAUGUACAUACCGAAGGUGCAAAAUGUGGAGAGAAAAAAUAUGCACUACCGGUUUGUAUCUACUGAAUGUGUUGUGAAGGUUAUUUUUGUAUUUUUAGGAGGCCUAAAAAGAUAUUGGAGGGGCCUAAAAAGUAACCUUCCAUUCUUAGAAGAAAAAAAAAUGGAAGCCAACAUCCAAACACAUAAAAGCCCACAAUCAAUUAUAAACAUAAACAAUUUGUUGUGGGGUAAAAAUUUUUGUAGUAGGUUUAAUUGGCAAAAAGUUAGAAGAAGGUUGCCAUCAACAAAUCUGAACCAUUCACUUAAAAUAUUAAUAUAUCAAUGGUUAAAACAUCAACUUUUUUAUGAUGGGAAAAAACUUCACUUUCCCAUUUUAAACCCCACCAGCCAAUAGAGAGAAACUACAUCAAAAGCUACACCACCUCAACAAGAACAAAAAGAUAAAUGGAGAAAAUUGAACCCGAAAUUUAUCAAGGACAGUCUCAAUUUGUGUGUUUUGAUACUUUUGUGUCUCAAAAUAAUUGAAUCAUUUGUAAAAUAAAAAAAAUUGUCUCACAAUAAUUUACUCGUUUCGCUUUUCAAUACAAUAUUAAUUACUUUUUUUUUAUUUAUAACUCUAAUUAAUACUACUUUCAUCAUUCCAAAUUUAAUAUCAAUAUAUUGAAUUUGGAGUAACGUAGAAUGUACAAAUAUUUGACAACACACUUAAAACCAUUUUUCACUCUUUCACUUAUAUAUUUUUUCUUAAUAUAUGUGAAAUGAACAAACGACUCACUUAUAUUAUAAAUCAGAGAAGUAUUUAGUUCAAGACUUUGUAUUGCUAAACUUUGACAUGUCUUGUGUUUAGUUUAGCCCCUUUAUUGAACAGGAAAAAAUACCGCAACUUCAGUAUCCCGGGCUAAAUGCCACCCCCCAUUCCCCAUAAGUUGCCAAAAGAAUAAAUAAACUCUGCUUUUGAUACAUAGACAUCCCUCGUUCCAACCAUCUAUGCAUAAAGACUCAAUAUAACGGCAAUUCAUCGAAGUACAUAAACCAAUUGUUUAAGGUGUACUAUUAGAGAAUCAAACCGAGGAACUAGUGGCGGAGCCAGGAAAUUUAUGGAGCUUGGGCAAAAAAUUAAUCGUAAAUUCACAUGUGACAUAAUAUAUAAACAGUCAUAAAUUGAAAGAAAAAUUUUUUUUUUCCUAAAAAAAAUUGAAAUAAAAGAUGUUUAUCAUUUUGUAAACAAAAGUACAAUUUAAAAUAUGAUUAUUAAUUGAAAUUGACCACGUAAUAUACAUGAAGUCUGAAAAUUGACCCUGCUGUAAUUAAAUAACAUGUAUUCUGACCAUGUAAUUCGAGAUUUUUAUUAUUUAUAACAUGUAAUAUACGCGAAGUCCAAAAAAGCAACCGAGAGAUUUAAUUUUUUCAUGAUUUCCUAGAGGCGAGUUAAGAACGUUAAAAUAUGGCUUUAACAAAAAAAAUAUAAAUUUUCGACAAACGACAAAUUAAUUAUGAUUUUUUAAAGUGUCAAAAGCUCAAAAAACAAAACAACGGAAAUCUCAAUCAAUAAAUCGAAUUUUGAGCUCAUUAUUUGCAGAGAGAUCUAUAAAAAUACAUAAAAAGGAUCUGUAAAGUUUCAUAGCAUUUCGAAGUCGUUUAAAUUUAUUUUGAUUUUUCAACUGAAACAUGUAAAAUUGAAAUUUUGUUUCGCGUAAGCGUAUACUCACAAGUCAAAUUUAGUUCCCUAAUUUUGUAGGCAUGACUAGAACAUGAUAAGAACCUUCACAAUGAAAUUUUGUAAUUUUUAAACUAGAUACAAAUUAAUUAUAAAUUGUUUAAGAAAUUCAUAAUUAUGAUGGAAUAAAAAUUCAUAAUUAAUUUAUCCCUGGUCGAAGAAAUUUAAUUUUGAGUAAAGCUAUAUUUUAACGUGCUAAAUAUGUAUGAAAAAAAUAGUGAAAAAAUUCAACAUGUAGGGCACAUUUUUAGACUACACGUAUAUUAUAGAGUGGUCAAAAUUAAAUAAGAAGAAAUUCAAGUUGCAAUGCUAGAAUAUAUAUUUUUUAUUUUAUUGGGUCAUUUUUCAAACAUAAAGUAUAUUACAAGGUCAAUUUGAACAAUUAACCCGUUAAAAUAAGAGAGAUGAACCCGUCAAUAGCGUACUAAAUAAAAUUUCAAGACUUAUUUGCGUGUGACAAUUUUCAGAUUGCCCAAAUUUUUCUUUUUGUAAAUGUGUUAACGGGCUUUUGGGUUGAGUCUAAUGUGCAAAAAUUAUCGAUCGAGCCCGGGCGAUCGUCUGGGGUCGCCAUACGGUAGAACCGCCCCUGCUAGGAACGAGGGGCGGAUCCACUUAGGUGUUAUGUGGAGCUAAAGCUCCACAUGUUUUUUCCUUUUUUUUUUGUUAUAAUUGAUAAAACGAAAAAGAAGUGACUUAGUAAAUAAUUCUCUCAUUUUCCCUUCUCUCUUAGUCUCGUAAAGUCAUUUCUAGUUUUUACGUGACAAAUUAUUGAGGAUGUCUGAGUUUUAUCCAAAUGAUUUUAUAGAUAUGUCGGAAGUGACGUUACGCACUCAACUUGUGAAUUAUGUUACAAAUGUUUAAAAUUUGCUAAGUUCAAAGGGCUUUUAGAUCUUUAUGCAAAACUUGUGGAAACAAAUAAGUGCAAACAAGAUGUAUGUUAGCACACUACUGUAUAUUAGACUAUUUGAUCUGCGAGUUUUUGUGUUUCUUACACAAUCUCGACGAGAAUAAUAUUUAUCGAUUAACAAAAAAUACAUUUAACUAAUUUGCAUUAUUAUACAAGGGUGAUUAAAUGGAGUAAGCCGAAUAGAGGUCGAAUGAAAUGUAAUAUUGAUGCAUCGUUUCCUAAUAAUGAGAACCGAAUUUGAAUAGGCAUUUGCAUUUGGGAUGAUGAAGGUGCAUUUGUGAUUGCAAUAACAUAAUGUUUAACUUCAAAGUGUGAUGUGCACAUUGAUGAAGCAUUGGGUUUGUUGACAACUCUUCAAUGGGUGCAUGAGUUACAUACAGUUAGGGCCUAUAGAGUUCGAACUUGAUUCCAAAAAAAGUGGUUGAUAGCUUUGGAGCUAAUAGGCAUGAUUCGACGGAAUUUGGAGCUAUUAUUAAUUAUUGUAAAAUAUUGUUUAAUCAUUUAUAUGAAAACUCGAGUGUAGAGUUUGUUCGGAGACAAGCAAAUGGGGUUGUCCAUGAAUUAGCAAAGGCGGCCACAUUAUCGAUUAGUUUCCAUAUUUUGGUUAUGCCACCACAUUGUAUUGAACACAUUUUAAUUAAUGAUAUUCUAUAAGUUUUCCCCUCUAAAAAAAAAACUAAUUUGCAUUAUUAUUUAUAUGAAAUUUUAACUACAUAUAUACCGAAAGUAUAGAUUUGCCCAUGGUAGAAACCCGUCAAAAUUUGUUAUUUCCACCAAUUAGUGAAUACUAUCCAUUUUACAAAGCCAUCAUUCGGUUAAGAAACUGUCAAAUUGUUAUCCUGCAUUCACUUAUAAUAGCAUGUGUCUUUCACUGUUAGACAAACAAACAAAUAUUAACAGCUUAAACUUUUUGAGAAUUUGUACAUAUUUUAAAAAAAUAUCAUAUGAAUAUGUAUUUAAUCUCACUUUUUGUACUUUACUACUAAAGAAGGUUUCAGAUUUCGCCACCAGAAUACUUUCCAUGUACUUCUCUUAUUUUAUCAUCACAUCUCUCACUUUCUUCUUUCAAGGUAGUUUUAUGAUCUAUUAAAAAGUUCACGGGGAAAUAAACAUCUAAGUAGGUUUUAGGCUAUGCCAAACUCUUUAAAAAGUUACGUUAGAUCCUUAAAAAAAGUUAUGUUAGAUCCUUAAAAGAUCAGAUUGAGAGACAAGGAAAGGGGCAUGUAAUUUCUUGGAUUGCUACAUGAAUAUCUACAAGUACAGACAAUUCAAUUUAGGAUUAAUGGUGUUUUUGGAUUAUUAUUGAAGAAGAAGAAGGUGAGGGGGGUACAUUACAACAA
rnacentral:lncRNA from 1 species